rnacentral:lncRNA from 1 species
GGGGGCUAUACCUAGCCCCAUCUAGUAAUAUAGAUAGGUACAUGGACGCACAAAUGUGAGACUUAUCUAACAGUUGGUACCAAAAACUCUGUUAGCAGUUAAUGGAAAACACAAUAUAUAGAAAAUUCUCUUUGUCUAGGUGUAUGUGUUUUAAAGAACAUGCGUAUACAGGGUAAUUGCAAUCUUCAUACUAACGCCCGAAAUCAAUUGGUCAAACCCAAAGCGCCUAGUUAUCAAGACGAAGUUGUAAAGCAGACAAUGGUAUUUUGAACCUGUGACAUUUGUGUUACACUUCUCGAAGCUAUGCCACCUGGCCUGAGCCAGGAUGGUCCGUGGGUGGCACGGGGAUUUUAACCUGGGAGAAUGUCUAAAAUGGACAAGUAUAGGAUAUGGAAAGAUUUCACAAAUAUAAAAAAACACUUUAUGUUAUCAGGAAUUCUAAGCUAACCUUUGACUUUCACUUAAGGUUGAUUAACAGCAAACCUUUGAAAAGAAAUAUCAAUGGUUAAAUUGCUGACAUUCUACUUAUAAUGUUUUCUCCUGUUAGGUAUCAGAUAUCAACUUUGGCAACAAAACUUGGUGUCAGAAACAUUGCCUUCCUUGGCUCUGGUUUAUUGGUAGCAAAUUACAUUGCUGCUAUUGUUGUAGCUUUUCUCAUGCCUCAGGUAUCUUACUGCUACCUUUGACCUCCCUUGUAGCUUCUUUUCUCCUUCUGGCUAAAGAGACACGAACCCAACAAGUGUUGUACAUAAUAUGCAUUUUACUGGAAUCAUUUCCAGUACCUUGUUUUUGCAUAUCUUUAAUUCAACUCCAGUAAACCCUUAGAUGGUAGAAACACAAAUAGGGACUAUUAUACUACUACCUUACUGCUACUCACAGUUUUAGUAUGCACUUCCAUAAACAGUGUUACGAUUUGGAAGAUGCAAAAGCACUUGUAAAUGUAGGUAUAUGCACUAUCUUAGCCUCCAAAGGGCAUCAAGAUUUAUUCAAGGUUAUUGCAAUGAGUAGCAAACAGGAUUGUGGUUUGAAUAUUUAAAGUUAUCAUCAAUCUUGUGGCAUGUUUGAUGAUUAUGAUUGUAGGUGCAGUCAUGUACCUGCAUGUAAAUUUUGAAAGAUGUGCACCUUUUCUUCCUCAAUUUCACGCAACAUGUUCAAUUAAUAUGGCCUCUAUCCCAUUCUGUCACUUCUCCCAUGGUUGAUCUUGGACACUUUUUAUAUAAUCCCACAAUUUUUUUCUCGUUUAUAUUUAUGCUGUAAAAAUGCAUUCAUUCAGACUCUUAGUGAUGAUUUGUUACUGUAAUUUUGUCUUUUGUCCAAUAUGCCAAAUAGUCUCAUGAAUUUUCUUAUAUUUCUGAAGUAUAUCAGCAUGAAGGAUUGCUGUUCUUUCCAUUGGAUUUUCCAGAACAGUGUGCAUGCUUCAAUAUAGGUAGCGUUACAUGGCUCCUUUUGCACUAAUAUUUUCUAAUUUGCAGGCCUUCAGGCGCACUGUCAUGGUCCCUGUGCAUGUUGCCCUUGCAGCUGGUUUAAUUUUCCAGGUAAACAUGUUUAGUAUUGUGAAUGAUCUAUCCUGCAGCUUAUGUUCUUAUUGUUUCUUCUUAAUAUAGAGAUACGCAGCUCUCUUGCGUGUUUGAGAACAUGUUCAUAAUUGUUCGAUGCAAAGCUAUGUGAUUAGUGAAUUGGACUAAUCAGUAUUAUAACCUUGCUUCUGUGGCAUUUGUGUUCUAGUUCUGACAUGUUUGUUCUCUACCAUGAUUUCAGACAUGGGUUCUGGAGCAAGCGAAGUACACUAAGGUGAAUCAUUUUUUACUUGCAUGGUGUAUUUGUUUAAUCUUUUUCUUCAUGGAAGAUCACUUGCAAAAGUAUUUGUGAUAUCUGGGGGCAAAAACUUAUGAUAAAAGGGUGGUUCUUUUGUUUAGUGACCAUAUGUGCCUCAUUUCUAAUUUAGAAGUUUGCCUUCAUCUGUUUUACAGGAUGCUAUUUCGCAAUAUUAUCGGUUCAUCUGGAAUCUCUUCUAUGCUGAAUAUAUCUUCUUUCCGUUGAUAUAGAGCCUAGAGGUAACUUUCUUUUAUUAGCAUUUGACCAUACUUUUAAAUUUCGUUUACUUCCAAGAUUUUAUUUCAUAAAAAUUCUCAGAUCUGGUAGUUCAGACUUCAGAGUGGGCUACAGCCUAAUGAUGGGAGCAAAUCAAAAAGGGAGGAGUCGAUAAAGUGCAGGGGCGAUCAUAGUCGGCUGAUGCCCCUUUUGUGCAUAUGAAGCGUACUUGUUGUGCAUAUGUUGUACGGAAACAAAAUGCAGUGAUGUUUCAAGGAUCCUGGAGUUUUAGGAGCUUGGGAAGCUUUUGUCAUGCUGAGGGUGAGGGCUUUAACUUGUUGGAGCUGCGGUAGCUGGCUUUGGCACAAAUUCAACAGUGCCCCGUUCUGUAGGGUCUUGUCUGGGAGGGCUUGAGCUCAGGUCUGACGUCGAUGGAAACUCAAGCUAGUUCUGGCCCGAAACAGGUGGUGGUGCUGGUGCUGGUGCAGCGGCCAAGCCAACUAGCCAAGCACGUUUCUUGUCACUCGAGGUUAAGCUAGUAUAUAUGCGAGACAUAUUGAUGGCGUGCCCUCACGAGUCACGCGAAUACAGACCACGGACUACUAGUAUCCCCUUGGCUUAUACUGCAUAUAUAUUUCUUGAGCUUCAGCUGUACCUGUUGUAUAGCAGGAACCACUGUCUUUUCCACCGUUCGAUCUGGAAGGACUGAAAGUUCCUCCAUGUGUCAUCAUUUGUCUGCAUCAUGUCAGCUAGCUUCGUGACAUACUAUAGCAAUGCGGCCAAGAGCCAGGGAGGCAGGGAGCUACAGGCAGCGGUCGCACGAUGCUCGGCCUCCGCCGUCGGUCACAACGUGCGACGAGGCGGCUGUUCGAGCGGAAGUUGUGGGGAGGAAGGCGCGCAUGGCGAGGUGCCGGCACGCAUGGUCGCGGACUGGGACGGCGGAGCCGGGCUGUUCCCAGCGUGGGAGGUAGCCUCCCGGCUCCGCUGCCGCUGUCCCCGGCGGACUCGGGCUCCCGGAGCCGCCCUCACCGGCCGCACCAAACACACAGCGGCAGGCGUUCCUUCCAGCUGUGGUCCGAGCCCGGGUGAUGUUUGCCUCUUUCUUCGGCAAUUGAACAUUUGAACCUGUAUGGGAAAUGCUCUUGUCAUCUCAACGAUCAAACUGCUGUCAUCUUAUCUGCUGCGCCCUGGAAUUUGCUCAAAAAACAUGGAGAACGGAGAGCCACGGCGGCACGGCCGGCGGAGCCGCGGCCGCCCACGCUGUGCCACUUCCACGACACGCGGGGCGUGGCAAGGCUCGCCAGGGACGUGGCUCACCUGAAGGACGUCGCCGUCGAUCGCGACGCCAGGAGAGGUUGCGCUAGGGCCUUGGAAGUUCUGCAUGCGUAGGGCGCACCCGGCGGUGGCAUUCGACGCAAAGAGCAAACACGAUGAUCUUGAUCGGCGGGAUGAAGGUACGCCACUGGCCGAGGAUUGCGUAUAGUUUGGUUUGGUUUUGAGGCAGAGGGGGGUGUUGCAUCGGGCAGGAGUUGCUACAGCACGAUGGAUUGGUGCUCGCUUGUCCGGAUUGGGAGACCAUCUUUUGCUUGCUCUAAAGCAAACACCACACCAGGAACAACACAUCGUUCCUAAAACCCUGGCUUACAUAGCAGCAAGAACCAUGUCUCAACUCUCAACGCACCAUGACAAAACCCUGGCUUACAUAGCUAAAAUGCAGCAAGAACCAUGUCUUAAUAACGCACCAUGACAAACAUUUUUUCUGAUGCAAACUAGAACAAACUUAACUACUAAAACAAGCUAGUAGAAUUUGCAAUCGUUGGACACCGCGCAGCUCGCUCGGUAGCCGCCCUCGAGCAGCUUCACGAGACGAACCUGACGAUCUGCUCCUGGCGUUGCAGCUUGCGGGCGACCUCGGAAGAGACGAAGGCGUCGACGCAGGCAUAGAUGAUCUGCUCGUCGCUGAGGCCUGAGGCUGCGCGUCCCAGCGGCUCAUGGUCACCCUGUGCGGCUUCGCGAGGUCGACGCCCAAGAUGGCGGCAACGAUGGCGCGCAGCCCAGCCUGGCAGAGGUCUGGGCGGCCGCCCAUGUACUCCUCCGCAUAGCCCCGCAGGUCCACCGCCCUGCCUACCUCCAGGCCGUAAAUUUUGUUUCCAGUACAUGGAUUAGGAUUUUAAAAGAUCAAACCUCGUAAAUUAUGACGAACAGUUAAUCAGACUACAUGCAAAGUUGAUACUGCAUCUACAAACGAAUGGACGUAGUGUUUUCUUUUUGCACCACAAUAACCUCGUUCUGGUUUUGCGCACAGCAUAACUCCCAAUCAUAUCCACUGCCAUCAUGAACAUAAGUUUGUACUGCAUCUUUCAAGUGUCUUCAACCAUUUCCCGUAACAGCACCGAGUACCAUAACAAACUUGAGGUAGUUCCAGCCUUCCAGCAGAGACAUCCACAUCGAAGAAAGGAAUUUAGCAUACAUAUAUCAAUAUAAUGUACCCACGGUUUACAAUAAAACUGUAGCAAGAUACAAUCUAUCCAUGUUCCUUUUACUGGGCUGCAGCACCAAAAUUAUCCAACUGGAUGAUACAACAACAAAAUCAGUUACAUAGUUUGGGGUUUAAUUCCCCUCGACGCCUGCUGCUGUCACUGCUGGUCCUUUGCCUACCCAGUAUUUGUAAGCAGCAUAAACAGAGGACACGACUACGGCGCCAAGGACCAAGUAAGUGAAGAUCGUGGCCACACUGAUUUGGCUGGGGCCCUUCUUCACUUUGCUUUGUGCCAGCAACGCCUUUGGCUUGAGCUUGGCCAUGCUGCGCUUCUGAUAAUGCCAAGCGAAAAGGACAGAAUCAGUGUAAGCAAGUUGUGGAUAGUACCAAAAAGAAAAAGACAAGCAUGGUUUUUGUUGGGCCAGUGUCAAUCAAAAAAAAAUCAACAGUAAGUCUGUAGCUACAAUGCAUCAGGUUGUCAAAAAUAAAAAUGUUGCUAAGGUGAUUGUUUCUUUCAAGCUACUAAUACCUGAUUCAUAGUGUAAAAUAGGUAGUAGAAUACGGUAAUCUGAAAAUUUGAAACAGGUAUAUAACGGAGGCAAUGGUGGGAUCAGAACUUCAGGUUGCAAGUGUUCCAUGUGGGGCACAAAAUGGAACUGCUGGCAAACUUUGCAUCUUGAUUGAACCAAAGUUCCAAUUGGUUUACAAACAUUCACAGAGUACAGUCUCUUGGUCUUAUGUAAAUAGCAAUAUGAUUCAAAAGAGGAGCUUAACAAAAUAACAAGUGAUGAAUGGGGCUGGGUGCAAAUAGCGUGACAGCAUUUAGAUUCGUGCACUCAAAAGUUGCUGACAUGCAAACUAUUGGAUUUUUCAUUUAUAGCUGAAAGACUUGUUGGACAGGACAGAUAAAAGAUGAUAGUCUCAUGGAGUUACAUGAUUAUUGAAACAAGAGGCAAAGAACCCACUUGAAAACUCCAUCCACAACAUAAGUUUCAGGUAAGUGUUACUUGUAUGAUAUUGCAUAGGGGACAAUUUGAUGGACAUAAAUAAAAAAAUCGUGAAUCAAUUUCUACAACUUUGCAGCCUGAAUUAACUUAUGCACUCAAUCAAUUUACUUGCUUCAUAGGAAGCAGCAACUAGCUAAUCAAACAAGUCAUUCCUCCUUUCCAUCCUCUCUUACUACUUCAGAAUUCAGUUGUGGCCAAGGCAAGUUCAUACUUUGUUUUAGUGGAAGUUUGAAAUUUCAGCUACCAUACUUAACUACAUUAAAGUGGAAAAGGACCAUCAGGAAAUGAUUAAGGAAAGAUAAUUCAAUCAUGAAACAUAGUUCUCAACAAGAACAACUUUGGACAGCAUAUUUUCAUUUUGCUCUGUAAAUGCAAGUGCUAGAUACAAAAAGCACAAGGAUACACUAGCUUUUUAAAAAAAGUUAUAUCAUGAACGGUGUCUUAAACUAUAUAUAUUCACUUGUCACCUCAGAGCACCUUCCAAGCCAAUAUUGUUCGUAUGAAAAACUAAAUGCAAGAUUGGAGAGCAUAUCAACCGCUUGUUAUCUAAAGCAGCUUCCUUUGCUAGAUGGCACAAUGAUUCUCUGUCUUACUUAUGGGUGCAGCCUUUCAAACAAAAAUUAUGUGGUGCAGACCAAGGUUCUGCGUACUGGGCAUAUCCUCAUAGUUCGAUACACCCCAUUUCCGACUGGGUCAAAGACGACAAUCAGACUAAGCAUGACCAGGGAGGGCAGACUUAGCGGAGGGUGCAGGGAUCCAGAUGCAGCACCAAAUUUCCUUGGGGGAAAGAAUGCUAUCAAGUGGUCCACCACGCCCAGGGACAGGGCUUGGUUGGGAGUCAACAUGGGAUGGGAUGGGGUCAUCCCUAUUUUCUAGGAUGAAAUGAUUCCCUCUCACGUUUGGUUGCAGGGUUGGGUUCAUCCCUUUUUUUUGUUUGGUUGGAGGGAUGAGAGGGGAUAGGAUGAUCCCAUCUCAUGUUUGGUUGGAGGGAUGAGGAUAAAUAACUAGAUAUGGUCACUUGCAUUGUACUCCUGGUAAGCUUACCUCAUUUGUACACAAAAAAAAAAAAUUGCAGCUUUUGCUUAGGCUAGUCACUUUGAUUGAUAAAGCAACAUGCUAGCUAAUAUAGAGUGUAACCAUAUAAGCUCCAAAACCGAAUAUUACAACCUCCAGAAACAUGCCACGAUGCUCCAAAAUUGAAUAAUAUAGAGUCAAAUUUUCUAUUGGAACCAUACAUACCAUUGGAACAAGCAAAAUCAUAUUGUCCCAUAUCCAUCCAGACCAUUGGAACCAUACAGACCCAUCCAAGAAUCCAUAUAUACGUAAUCUGACACAAGAAUCCAGACCCUCGACUAGCAAGCAAAAGAACCAAAUCACAUAUGGAGUCACAUAUAUCAUAUUUAGGCAUUCAAACCAUAUUAUACUGUCACAUAGACAAUACUAACCAUACAUGCUGGGUGAGACAUAGACAAAAUUGCUUCAGCUAAGCAUAGACAAAAUGGCUAGCUGCUCACUAGUUGAAUGCUAAUAAAGGCAGGCAACAAAUAUAAGCCUAAUGCUAAUAAAGGCAGGCAACAAAUAUAAGCCUACAACAAGCUAACACAUCCUAACAGGGUGAUACAUCAUGAAUUUUGUUCAGUAACAUCAAGCAAGCACAACCACCAAGAUCAAACCUUUUUACAUACCCACCCAAUCCAGUAAAAUUUCAAGCACCAAGAAACGCAGUAAAAUUUCAGGCAGUAAAAUUUUCUUGCAUGGAGAGACUCUGGUCACCAGGAGCUGUGCGACAUAUCAGUGUGACGAUCGCUAGCACAUAGCACAUAGUCCAAUUCAACAACUAACAAGGGCAGAGCAUAUCUAUGUGCAUUCGUAAUCAUCUAGCAUAAUCAUACUGUUCCAACCCAAAUCAUUUUGACCUUUACCAGUGAUCAUGAGCAUGGAAUAGCAUCAGAAACAAAACACAUCACAACAUGCCUACCAAACAUCACAACAACAGGCUAGGGUUUCAUACCUUGGGAUCUCACUAUGAUGCAGAACGAGGAUCUGCACUGGGUGUUCUUGGCGUGGGAUCCAGAUGCAUCCUCAAAAUUUUUGGGGGAAAUUUUGCUAUCCCGUGAUCCACACAACGCAGCAAACAAAGCGGACGGAGUGGAACAUCCACCUCAGGAAGAAAUACUUGGAAUUCAACUUCUCUCUACCUCCAAGCAACAAACAAAGGGAAGAGCGGGACAGGAACGGAUCCAGAGCACGCGAAUUUUGCACGGGCUUGCCGUUGGGAACCAACUAAGCACGGGUAGCUUAUCAGGGCAUCAGGCUAACCCUGGAAGUACGAGCAGGAGUACAGGGCCGCAAAUCCACAAGCGAUCCCGCCACCAUAGGCGUUGGUUGCUACGGUUUGGACGGAUCCAUGCACAACGGAUAAAAAUAGCGACGAACUAGCGGAUCGGAACGGGAACCGCGCCGCUCACAUCCCUCAACCCGUACACGCGAAGCUAGGGAUUCCUCACCUAGGAACCGGAGUCUGCACCCCAAGCGGCGGACGAGCGAGGACGACGAGGGAGUCGAGGACGAGGCGGCGGGCGCCUCUACCGCUACGGGCGAAUGUAUGGAAUAGUCUCGGGGGGAGACCGCAAGGGAUUGCCUGGACUGGAUCUGGAUCUGGAUCGAGGCGUGUUGGAAGCAGGGACGAAACGCCGAGGCCCGAGGCCGAGACGCGGCUGUGCGCCACCGUCCGCUGGGUUUAGCCCGGGUGGGAGCUCGUCGCUCGAUCAGGUUCGGCUGGCCUGGUGCGUGAGCUGUCCGGCUGCUGGUGUUGGCUGACUGGGAGGGGGGUUCUGCCACAUGGAACCCAUUUGCUUGGACAAUUAUACCACACAAUAUGACAAGACACGUACUCUAUUUUAUUAUCAGAGAAAAUAAAAAGAUUAUACACCAUAUCAGGUCACGUAAUUUAAUUUACUGCACCAACAUUAGUGACACUUGUUGCAUAAUUGCAGAACACAGACCACCCUAUUUACCAGAUCAGAUCACGUAAUUUAAUUUACUGCACCAACAUUAGAGACAUUUCUGUAUAGUUGCAGAACACAGACCACCCUAUCACGUCAUGUACUUCAAUUUACUGCCACACGCGAAUUUCGCACGGCUUGUCGUUAGGCACCAACUAAAGCACAGAUGGUUUAUCAGGUUAACCCUGCAAAUACGCCGCAACUCCAUAAGUGAUCCCGCCACCCGUAGGCGUUGCUGUAGUCCGGACGGAUCCAUCCGUAGCAGAUAAAAAAACGACGAACUAACGGAUCAGAGCCGGAGAAAUAACUAAACUACGCUUCCAUAGCGAACACAAUUCCUCGAUCCGGCUAAGCGAAACUAGACAUUCCUUACUAGGGAAGGGAGAGAGCAGCCCACGUACGGACUAACGAGCGCCCCCCUUUGUGAUGGAGGACGACAAGCGAGUGGAGGACGAGGAUGCGGACGAGGCGGAGGGCCCUUUUGCACUCUCAGGACAAAAGGGGGUUCCUUAAGGCGGUAAGCGCUUGCCAUUUCCUCCAUGAUUAGCUUUCGAGCGAAUCGAAGGUCGCAUUGGCUCGGGCUUGUCACCAAUUGAUCCAGUGAUCGGACAGUGACAGCAUCAGGAAUUCAGGAUUCAGAGCACUGAUGGUGUCGGUCGAUACCUGAUCGACCUAUCGAUCCCAAGCAAGCAAGCAGGUGGUAUCCCGGUGCACGGAGGUGAUCCGCGGGCCCGGGGCAGAUUGUGCGUGAUGGCGUGGAUGAUGCAUCGGGUGCGUGAUCGCGAGAUGCUCUGGCGGCCUGGCUACUUCCGGAGCUGAAAAGGGUGCGCGUGGGGGCGGCCGGGCGACCAUCGUGUGCUCUCGGAGCCAUAGCUACCAUAGAUAGCAAGCUCGGGGCAUGACUCGUCGUGACGGCAGUAGGUGGAUGCACCAGACACUCAAGGUGUCUAUUCCAUCCCAGUUCGUUUUGGCGCCGCGGGCUUGUAGAUGCGCUCGAAUCGAAUCGGUGCUGAUCCUGAACCUCUGCUCCGCUGAAGUCUUACAGUAAGGGCACUUGGUUGGUGGGACCACCUUGUCAGUAUUACAAGCAGACGCGGAAUAGUCAAAACUCAAAAGCCUCCACCGGCUCCCGUUGGCCAAGUCGGGUCCAGCCAGCAGCCCGAUGAGGCCCAGCAGGCCUGUACCAUCUCGGCCCGUGCAUGACAGCGGCUGCCGACCGAGGAUUCAUCCCAAACGCUCCUGAUGGUGCUUUGUGCGGUCGCAAAGUUGCCACGGGUUUCCACUCUAGGAUUAAGCUGUUCUCGUCGUUUUACACGGUGGCUUCGGUAAGCACACACAACGCAUACCGGGACAACAAAAGGAGUGCUGGGGGGAGAAAAAAAAUACACAUUUCUUCUUCGAGAAAGGAGAAAAAGGAAGCCAGCUUUGAGCCAAAGAACGACUAUAACAAGCACAUCACGACCAGCACAGUUCACAGACACUUCAGUUAUUGAGCAACCAGCAGCUGAGAACAAGAACAGCAUGUAGCACUACCACGAACAACACAUUGGGCGAAAAGAAAUUCACACCGUCAUAGACUAAUAUUUUUUUAGAUGAUGAGCUCGUAAGUUAGUUAACUAGCUAGCAGCUGGCAUUUCUGAGUUCUGACGACAGGCUGCCCGCGCCCAGCCGGGGAGCUUGUCGAGGCGCACGUUUUUGGUGGCGACGGCGAGCGCGGCCACGACGCCGACCCAGACGGCGAGGUCCACGGCCAGCGAGGUGCGCUGCUACGACGCCAGGAACGUGAGCACGAGGCUAGCGUAGGCCACCAGAACGCGCCCCGCACGAGGCGCGACUUGGGGGGCACCCCCGUGAGCAGCCCCACGGUGAGGAGCGUGGAGGCGCCGAACGCCACCCAGCUCCCCGCCAUGAACAGCCAGUACCGCCGUCCGUACUUGUCCCGCAUGAUCGGGUCGCCGGCGGCGUGCCCCGCGGCGUCGUCCUGCCAGUACCCGCCCGGGAUGUUGGUCCCCAGCUGGUAGGACAGCCCCGAGAUCAGCGUCGGCACCACCAGCAGCGUGUCCCUGGUGUUCGUCGCGAAGUCCGGCGCAUGCCCGCCGCCGCCGGCGGCGUUCUGCAGGCGAUGGUCGCCGCCCUGCUGCCGCUGCUGGUCUAGCUCUGACCCCGGCAUUUGGACGUGGACACCAUUGCCGGCGGCGUACAUCUCUCUUGCUCGCAGCCCUCCGCGUGCCCAAAGUGCAAGAUUUCUCUAAGUACUCCUAGCUAGUCGAUCCAGAGGCCUCUCGGCGAUGUUCUUGCGAGCAUCUUAAACCUUGCGGGCACAUUUAUAUAGGCGGACAUGGGUGAUUGUUCCCCUUCGUUUCUGCCCAUGUAUAGUAAAGUAAUUUCUUCGAAGGACGCAGUAAGCGCCACUUGACACUGGACUUGAGAGGUCAAGUGGUUGUCUGACAGCCCUGGUACUCUCUCUGAGCAGCGAACACCGAAGACCCUGGCAAGUCCAUGUCUACUCAUUCAUACCCUCUCGCCGCUUCCGUUUAUCUGUGGCUAGCUUCUCUGUUCUCGCUCUCCUUGUUGGUCCUCGUGAAGCACAUGCCAUUCAGUAAACAGAGAUUGUGAAGUAACAAUGCUGUCAAGUGAAACCUAAGAAUUUCGCAAAAAAGAAGUGAAGCCUAAGAAAAUGAGAGGAAUCUGUCACUGUGAGUUACUAGAUGCUAUGGAAGUUCAUUUCCACUUUCCCAGUGUCGGCAAAGCUGCAGAAAUUUACACAUUUACGGGCGGUGCCUUGCUUGGCUGCUUGUAUCAUUCAUUCAUUAGGUACAUAUAGGUCUAGAAUUACUACGUUAACAAGAAUCUACGGGAUUUGACCGCCCAGGUUGGGCUGCUACGGGAGCAUUAUUUUUUUUUUGAGUCUUAUGCCAAUUUCCGCAUUUGGGCACGCCAGCACUUGAGGCUCAUCCAAAGUCGAAACGCUGGGGCUGGUGUCAGUCAACGGUCUAUAUUUAUUUGGCUUGGGAAUAAAAUGCACAGGUGUCUCUCGAACUUGGCUUGUAGCAUAGAUCUAGAUUUUUAAACUUGUUAAACAUAUCAAAUGAGAUCUAAAUCACCAUAUUUUAAGUUAAAGUGAAAGUGUUUCUACCGACGGGGAGCUUACACAUGGAUCCAAAUUUUAUUAUUGAUUUUUUUGCUAAACUCUUAUAUUUUCUAAAUUUACUUCAAAAUUUUGUUUCAAAACUUUAUGCCUGAAAUUUUUUUCAAUGUUUCCUCCAAAAUUUAUCCUUUUUUAUUUUAUCUUUUUUACCUAUUUUGUGAUAUGGGUUUCGUUUUCGUAUAAUCUUUAUAUACAGAUUUUUUGUAUUUGAGUAUAUUUAUUCAAGCAAGUUUGUUAUGAUAUUUUUGCAUUUAUACAUUUUGUAUAUAAUUUUAUAUUUGAAUAAAUUAUAUAAUUUUAGAUUUAUUUUAAGCAAUUGUGAUUUGAACCUCACAUGAUACGAUUAGUAAGUUUAAAGAUCUAAAUAUGUAUUUUAAAAAUUUGAAGACGUAGAUAACAUCCUCGAAUACUCGAGUUCAAGUAGGGUGAGCACGACCGUGACAACGACCCAGAUGACGAGGACCAUUGCCAGCGACGUGCGUGGCUGUGACGUCACGAACGUGAGCACGAGGCUGGAGUACGCCCACCGCCUACCACGAACGAGCUCAGCACGAGCCGCCGCGGCGUGGGCGCGCCCGUGAGCGGCCCCGGGUGAGCAGCAUCGAGCUGCCGCCAUGAACAGCCAGUACCGCCGCCGGUGCUCAUCCCGCAUGAGCGGGUCGUCGGCGACGUGCCCAUUGUCCUCGUUCUUGGUUGCUUGAUGGUUUCCCUGAAGACCUGAAGUGUGUGCCAUUCAGCAAUGCACACGACCUGUUUGAUAAUAAUACUGUCAACUGGAGACUUCAAGUGGAACCUAAGAAAUUGAAAAUGAAUCUGUGAGACUGACGUAGAUUCUAUGGAAGUUCUUGUUCAGUGCCUGAAAAACCUGAAGAUCUUCACGCGUCGUCAUGGUUGCUGCCUGGUCAGCCGCCGGUCCGCCCUCCUAUCCCUGCCGCGUGCGCUAGACGACGCGCGCGCACGGCCCGAGCGCCCGAGCCCGACGACCGCACGCCGCGUCCUCGUACCGUCGUGUCGUCCUUGGCGUGGGCCCUGCCGCCCGACCGGGACCCUCGGCAAAGCUUUCGGCGUGUUGCUGCUUGGUCGCCCGCGAUAGCUGCCAAUGGCGGCACGCCGCGGCCCGGCCGCCGGGCCGGAUUGCUUCGCACGCUCCAAGAUGUGUUUUGCUCCGAGCUGCUGGCCGAGGAUUCAUCCGAAAUGCUCAAUGGCGGAUUGUGAGGUUGCAAAGUUGCAACUGGUUUCCACUCCCCACUCCGGAUAGGUUGUUCUCGUCGUUUUACACUAUGGCUUUGGCAAACAAACACAACAUACCGGGACAACAAAAAGAAUGCUGGAGUGGGAAAAAAAAGACACUACUAUACAUUUCGCCCCAAGAAGAAACAAACACCCUGUACUUAUUGAUUGAGCAACCAGCAGCGGAGAACGAGAACAAGAACAAGGACAACAACUACCACCACACCCUUUUUAACAGAACAUUAGGCAAAAAAGAAAAAAAAAUCACACUGUUACUAGUACAAGCUCACGGUGCUACGGUGGGAUUAACGACCCAGCAGCUGACGAAAAGCUGCCUGCGCCCACCUGGGGAGCCUGUCGAGGCGCAGGUACGAGGUGACGACGGCGAGCGCGGCCAUGACGCCGACCCAGAUGGCGAUGUCCAUGGCGAGCGAGGUGCGCGGCUGCGACGUCACGAACGUGAGCACGAGGCUGGAGUAGGCCACCAGGAACGCGCCCCGGACGAACUGGGACCUGGCGGGCACCCCCGUGAGGAGCCCCACCGUGAGCAGCAUCGAGCUGCCGAACCCGGCCCAGCUCGCCGCCAUGAACAGCCAGUACCGCCGCCGGUGCUUGUCCCGCAUGAUCGGGUCGCCGGCGGCGUGCCCCGCGCCGUCGUCCUGCCAGUACCCGCCCGGGAUGUUGGUCCCCAGCUGGUAGGACAGCGCCGUGAUCAGCGUCGCCACCACCAGCAGCGUCCCCGCGUCGUUCGCGUCGAAGUUGGGUGCGUGCGGGCCGCCGCCGCCGCCGCCAGCAUUCUGCGGGGGGUUGUCGCCGCCCGGCUGCUGGCCCAACUCCACCAUCAGGACGUGGUCGCCGUUGCCGGCGCCGUCGUCCAUCCAUCUCGCUCGGAGCUCCGCGCGUGACCAAAUUAAAGCGCAAGAUUUCUAGGUACCCGCGCGUGACCAAAUUAAAGCGCAAGAUUUCUAGGUACUCUUCCUGCGCGCUUCUUGAACCUUGCGCGCACAAUUAUAUAGGACUAUGUGAGGAGCUUGGUGACUCCCUUGUUGCUUCCCAUGGAAGGUAGUACUAGUAGUGAAGUAAUUUCCUACAAGGACGCGGGAAGCGCUAACUGAACUGCGAGUGCGAGUGGUUGACGGACCUGGUCCUCUGCUUCGGCAAGACCUAGGCGAGUCCUCGUCAAGUCUUUUCUCCACCGCUGUCUUGAGACCUCUGUUUAUCCACGGGCCAUGGAUAUACCCUCUUUGUUCUUGCUUGCUUUGUUCAGCAAUACGGUUUCCGUGUUGUGACAUAACAAUACUGUCAAGUGGAACCUAGGGCCUGUUUAGUUACCAGCGCAAAAACGCAAAAAAGCUGUAAACGUAGGAAUCUUACUAAUUUGAAGUACUAAAUGAAGUCUAUUUACAAAACUUUUUGCACGGAUGGGCUGUAAAUCGCGAGACGAAUCUAAUGAGCCUACUUAAUCCAUAUUUUGCAACAGUGAUGCUACAGUAACCAUCCGCUAAUUAUUGCUUAAUCAUGGAUUAAUUAGCAUCAUUAGAUUCGUCUCGCGAUUUACAACCCAUCUGUGCAAAAAGUUUUGUAAAUAGACUUCAUUUAGUACUUCAAAUUGACAAGAUUCUUUUGCAAAAAAUUUUUUUGCGUUUAUGCGUCCUGAUCUAAACAGGCCCCUAAGAAAUCGGAAAAGGAAUGCGUGCCUAUGGAAGUUCUUGCCCGCAAAGCUGAAUCUUACGCGUUUUCGGCUAUGUUUGGUACAGAUUGUGAACCAGCUUCUCAUCAAUUUUAAGUUGUGGGCUGCCCAAACGCUAGGCUUCUGCACCGCUUCCCCCGGCAACGCUUACCCACCUCCUUCACAAAACGCGCGUCGGUGAGCAGCGGGAACGGUCCAGCUUCUGCGGCUUCCGCCCCACGCGCCGGCCUCCGCCCUCGCGCCUCCGCCUCCGCCCCCCGCCCCCGGCCUCCGCCGCCUCCGCCCUCUGCCCCCGGCGCCUCCGCCCCGCCCCCGGCCGCCGCCUCCGCCCCCCGCCCCCGGCGCCUCCGCCUCCGCCCCCGACGCCGCGCCUCCGGCGCCGGCCCCCGCCCCCCGCGCCGGCCUCCGCCCCCCGCCCCCCGCGCCGGCCUCCGCCCCCCGCCCUCGGCGCCGGCCCCCCGCGCCCUGCGCCGGCCUCUGCCUCUUAAUUGUAUGAUUAAUUGUAUCAUUAUCUUAUUUAAGAGUAAUUUACGAUUAAUUUUAUAAUAUAUUAAUUGUUAAUAAUUUAUGAACAAGUUUCAGCUGUGCCAAACAGGGCCUGUGACCAGCUGCUUCUCUGGCCAGCUAGCCACCAGCUGGCUUCUAAAUAAGUUUCUGUUGUGCCAAACAGGGCCUUCGUGCCGCUGCCCGGUGCCCUGGUUGUAUCAUCCAGUCGUUUUUGGAUGAUUACUGUAUGGGUCAUUUUCGCGGAAUAAAACUUGAGUUGAAUAUUAGUUAUACAAAACUGUUCUUCAGAAAGAGCAAUAUAGUCAGAUAAGUUUGUAGUAUAACUUUGUCUCGCGAGUUAGUUCAAUUUGAACGGCAUUCCUUCAUUACAAGCCCUUCUUUUCUAGAAUACGUAAGAGAGGUCUUUCAUUUAAGAAAGAAAACUUCAAAAGGUACGGUGAACUAAAAAACAGAACAGUCAGCACCACACCAUAAUCGCGCUUGCUGUUGGUUAGACCAAAGGAACUUAGUUGGAUUUAAUCCCCACUUUGUCAGGGUUCAUAUUGUCCUACUGAUUAAAACAAUUCAAUGUGGCCUAGUGCCCAAGCAGAAGGAUGAAAAAUACAGUAAUAGGUUAAUAAGUUUGGGUCAGUCUCAAUGUUUUUGAAGAAUGACCAUUUCCUAAAGAUUACUGAACAUGUCCAUGGCUUAUUGUAUAUGAAUCGUGCAAAAAGAGGUAAGUUAAAGUUAUGUUACUAGCAAAACUUCAACUGCAUAUAACUUUUCUAUGGUAAAUAUGAUGGUAGUGUAAUUGUACCAAAUACAGAGGAAAUGAAUAUUAUUGGAAUUUCGUGACAUCACACAUGUGGUCAUCUUUCACGGAAAUUUGUGGCCGGUUAACAUGUUUAAAUGGAUUUGUAUGCCAGAUACCAAAUCGUCAACUCAAACAUCACCAGUUACCUAAUGACAGCUUCUCACUUUCAAUUUCUCCACUAUGCCGCCAGUUUCCUUUAAGCUUUGACUGCAAUUCAGCACGCAUCGUCAUUCCGUUUGUGGGCUGGUUUACUUUGUUGAGGCCCACGGCCCAUGCCUCUCCUAAACCUCUCUUCUACCCCGGGGCUUCGUCGGCGCGCCUCCUCUCAACCAGUCGAUCCCCAUUCCCCCACCGCCGCCGCCCUCCGAGAAAGGGAGGAGUCGAUGAAGUGCAGGGACCAUCAUAGUCGGCAGAUGCCCCUUUUGUGCAUAUGAAGCGUACUCGUGGUGCAUAUGUUGUACGGAAACAAAAAAGUGGUGGUGUUUCAAGGUUCCUGAAGUUGUAGGAGCCUCGGAAGACUUUGUCAUGCUGAGGGCUUUGUUGGAGCUGCGGUGGCUGGCUUUGGCACAAAUUCAACAGUGCCCCGUUCUGUAGGGUCUUGUCUGGGAGGGCUUGAGCUCAGGCCUGACGUCGAUGGAAACUCAAGUUCUGGUCCCAAACAGGUGGUGGUGCUGGUGCAACGGCCAAGCCAAGCUUGUUUCUUGUCACUCGAGGUUAAGCUACUACCGUAGUACGCGAGACAUAUUGACGGCGUGCCCUCUCACGAGUCACGCGAAUAGGAACCACUGUCUUUUCCACCGUUCUGGGAGACUGAAACUUCCUCCAUGUGUAUGCUUGUUAAGCUGUAACAUGGCUCGCACAAAGCUGUAGCCUGUAUGCUACAGAACUUUCUCACCACCAUGGCAGCUGCUAGCUUCGUGUCAUGAGAUAGCAAUGCUGCGACGAGACAAGGAGCACCACGGGCAGCGGUUGCACGAUGCUCGCGCGCCGCGAGGCCGGGCAUCCGCAGUCUGUCACGCAACGUGCAACGGUGUUCUAGCGGAAGUUGUGGGAGAACGGAGCGCCUGGGCGAGGUGCCGGCGAACAGGCAAAGGCGCAGAGGCACGGUCACGUUUCGGGCACGCCGCACGCGGCGGGGUUGUGGCCUGUGUGGGUCGGGGUUGGUCCCGGCUCGCGGGACAACGCAUGGUCGGCGAGCGGCGCGGCGACAGGGACGGCCGAGCCGGGCUGUUCCCAGCGCGGGAGGUAGGCUCCCGGCUCCGCUGCCGCUUUUCCCGGACUCGGGCUCCCGGAGGCCGGAGCUCCCUCACCGACCGCACCAAACACACAGCUACUGCCAUCCGCCAACCUGUACGCCCCCGCGCCCACGUCUCGUCGGCGGCGUCCGGUAGAUCUGCGGGCAGGAUGUACACGGACCCGUGCGCACGUGCCACGCACGACCAAUUCACACAGUCACAGGCUCACAGCGGAUGAAACCAGGACCGAGGACUGGGUGGAUCCGGGUCAGCGUUGCGGCCUCGGUAGCAGCGAUUUCUCGCAGAAUCAUAAACCGGCACGGUCAGUGCCAGUCUCGACGCUCCGAAAGGACACAAGCCGGGCGGAUCUGAAGGGGGCUAUGGGGAUAAGUCCUUCUAUCUUCCCGAGAUCGAUGAAUAUCCUCCUGACCUCCUUCUCUAUUUUAGAACAAAGAAUGAAGAAGAAGAAAGGAGGAAGAAGAAGAGAAGGGAAGGUAGAAAGAGAGAAGGACCCUCUCUUCUCCCUUAGCUGCUGUCGCAGAAGAGAAUCGCAAACCCUGCUGUGCAUGGAAGGCUCUUUGCUUUUCACAAAUCUGGAAGACUGGAACACGUACACAGUGUGAUAGCACUUGUAUUGUUAGAAAAAAAAAGAAGAGAAAAGGUGAUGAAAUUUUUAUGUUGAAAGAAAUUUAAAAAAGAGUAUAACAUUUGUUUGCACAGUUCUGAAAUAUUCGGUCAAAAGAUGCUGCGAGCCUGCAGCCCGCAGAGGGCGAAUUUUGGAGGACGAAAUGGCCCGUCCGCGAGCGAAAAGCUGAGCUCUGAAGAAAAGAGAGCCCUGCGCGUGAUUGGCACGGCGAAUGCUGCCUCUGCAUCGUGCCCGUGCCCGUGCCCUUUUCUUUCCUGCGACUUGCUGUCCGGCGACCCUUUUCAUUUCAAACGGUGGGAAAGGUGAAAGUAAAAAACAUGGGCGAAACAAUUUGAAUUCGCAUGUUCCCACGGCGUGAAAAAUGCAAUAAGUCUGUAUAGUAUUAUACUUGAUGUUUUCACCUUUUUUUCCCUCCAGUGAACCUGGCACAGAUUUCUUCAGUUUCUCGUUCCAUGGUACUGAAAUGUGUUCGGCGAAAAUGGAUUUGUGAAAUUCAGAUAGUAACAGGGUCUGUCUGACGGCACCUGCAAAUUCAGAGAGCUCAUGCAUGUCAGCAGUAGUACCGGCACAAAUUUGUAGGUAUGCAGGCCAGGGACUCAGACUUCAAAGUGGAUCUUUCCAUCUCAAAUAAAAAAAAGGGAAAAAAAAGGAACGAUUGGAUCUUUGUAUGAACAUGUCCCAUGUGUCCUACGACACUUGUAUGAUCCAAACGAUAGUUUAAUCGAACCACGCUUCCGGGAUUUUCAUUUGCACAUGCGUUCGGGGUACCGGACAGGGCUUGGAAAGGUGUUGCCAGUCUGAUUUACUUCAUCGGUGAAUUGGUUUGCAGUUGCAUUGCUUGUGCCAGGCAAGUGCCGCUCAUAAACAUAGGAAAAUGGGAGUGCAUCCUCCACAUUUCAGUAUUUCACCACUGGCUGGAGGUGAUAAACUGCUGAUUUCCUACUGAAGCGUUGAUCUAUCAAGCGGUGAAAUGGAUAUAGUAUUAUUCAUGAAUCCCCAUCCCCCAGGAGGCAAAAAAAUAACAUAAUGAAUUCUGCAACUUUGGGUCUUCUGUGGGGCAUGUCGGGUAACAUCUGUGGGACUACUUUUUUUUUGGAAUAAUAAUGUCUAGGUUCCUUAUAUACUUUAUUAUAGAAAUUUCAAUGCAGGUAUGUACCGUGAAAAACACGUGAUUCUGUUUUAUUAUUUUACAUAACACCGUAUUUUGCAUUUCAAAUCAAACAUGGCAUAAUCCACUUUCUAUAAUGCAAAAACGCGCGAAAACUUUUGGUAGAUUAUGUGCACUAUUAAAAUCAACACUGAAUAAAAGAAGUGGACCGCAAGAAUCACAUGAUGAUUAUAUGGAAAUUAUGUUUUGAGCAACUUAAUCAUGUAACAAGUUUACUCUUAGGUUUUUGAUAAAGCCUACUCGGAUGUCCAAAUUCCAUCGAGUUGUAAUUGCAUGUAUGGUACUUCUUUUUAUUCUUCCUUCAUCCCUCCAUAAGUUAGAUCCAGAAUGUUUCUAUUACUUUGAUUUUUGGCUACAAUGAAGAUCUCCAUUGGUUAUAAUUCAGUUGCUUCAACUCUUUUUUAGCUUUGCCCUAAUUUCCUAUAGAUAAUGUGUUUUCUUUUCUAUAUUUGGCACUACUCUGUUUGUAGCAAACACUUCUACCUACAUGCCAGUUUUAAACCAAUUAUCAAAAUUCACGGUGUUGUAUGCUCACCACCUUCUAUAGUAUUUUGUGGUACUAACCUGUCAUCCAGGGAGAACCUAUCUGGCAGUGACAAAAGGCAAAAGAAUAAAUAAUUGAAUAAGUUAAUGUAUGAUCACAUAAAUGGCCCAUUGACAACUUUCUCAAAUCAAUGACACUCUCUCUUCUCAUUUUCUCUCUUUUAGCUCAUAAUAAAUCUAAUGUGGAGAUAGCUGACUUGUUAUUGUUGGAGGAGAUCUAAAUGUGUCCAUGGAAUUUGUACUGAGAAAGACACCUUGAGUUUUUUAAAAUAGCGCCCACUACCUCCAAAGCUCAAUUUAAGAGUCCAACCAACCCACAGGGUGGCCACAGGGGUGUGACCGCAGAAACGCUGGCCUCCUGGCCUGGCCUGUCAUCCGCCGCUCCUCUGGAACCUGCACACUGCACACCUCCCAACUCGUCAGUCCUCACAGUCAUCACGCUCCCGCUACCACGCCUCCGACGAUCAAAAGCUCCGGUUUUGAUUCCUCCUCUGGUCCUCACCCACCUUUCUCACCUCCUUUCCCUGUUAAUUUUAUCCUCCGUGUCCCCUCCUCUCCAGGAAACUUAAUCGGAUCUCUCUGAGCUCUUGGUCAAUCGCUCGCAUUUCUUUACUAAUCGCCACUUCUCGGAGAGAUUAGUUUUUAAUGGCGCUUAUUAUGAAGUGUUUUGAAUUAAACCUCCGAGAAACAGAGGGAAGCUAGAGAGCCUCUAGAGGCCAGAGCCAAGAAGAACACGCUCAGGUACGCCGGACGCGAGCUCCGAUACCUCCUCGGAUUCCCUACGUGCUGCCGCGGGAGAGGGGAGAGAGCUUCCCGUUUCAUCAUCAUCUAUCACAUCGCAGGAGUGCUGCAGCACUCAAGUCUCCACUCUCCACUCCCCCAGUUCGUGCUCACUUCUAUUGUCGGGGGCGGCGGCGGCCGCCGCCGCGGUUCGUGCUGCUCCGCGGCGGCUUCUUGGUCCUAUCUCCGUCUGUAGCGGGUUCCUCCGUGCGCGUGUCUGGAAAGGAAGGAAGAAAGGGCUCUUCUUUGAGGACAAAAUCAGGUGGUGAUCUUCUCUUCCCUUGCUGAUUUUGUUCCCCUUUUUUCCUGUACUGUUGUUGAGAUUACGAUGUCGCCAUCUGUUGCGUUCUUUUGGAGCCUUGCGGCCUUUCCUGCUCGUGACUUUCUACCAACUGAGGUUCCUCUACAAAGGGGUGGCAUUUUAGCCGACAAACGGCGGAUGAAGUGUUCUUGAAGCCUUGUUCACAUGGUGCCUGAAGGAACUUCUAGGUGUUCAUUGAUCUCUGCCCUUGUUCUCUGAUGUUUCUAGUUUGAAGGGGCAUUCACAGUUCUCUGUUGUUCUGCCCAUGGUGGUUUAGUUCGUGAGAUUUUUUAGUGUAGGUUUGAAUUGUUCAUGAAUGUGUGGCGAUAGAAAUUGGGGAUCUUUUGCCCAUUUAUUAGCAGCAAAAGGUUUUGCCCAUAAUUCGGGGUGACAUUUUAAGUCGUGGAUUCAUUAGUUUAAAGACGUUAGCUCCACUGGACAAGUUUAUGGGACUGCCUGAAUAUCCUGUAAUGUAGUACCUUAAUGUUUUCUAGGCAUAUAUGCAAUUCUCUAGUUAAGAGUUGCUACAUACAGUAGUUUGUGUUCUUGUUAAAUGAACAAAAUAUUCACCUUUUUUUGUUGCUAUUUCAGCUUUGCUUGAGAGCUUCCGGAGUGUACCUUCUUCUCAGCUAAUCAGAUCCUUGGGUGCAACAAUAUGUCGCCCAAGCGACCACAGGGCGUGGUUAUGUUGUUAAUGCUCAUGGUUUUCGAUGUUUCAGGUACUCCGGUUCAUCAUAUUAGUUUGCAGUACCUAGAUAUGGUUUUAAACUACCAUAUCUUCAAACCAUAGAUAUGUUUCUAGGAUGAGUAGUGCAAAAAUUAUACUUCUGACUAUAGAACUAUGGUGGUGCAAAAAUCAUACUAUGUUCUACAUAGAUGUGCAAAAACAUUAUUUUCCGUAUUGUAGUACCUCAUUCUGAUUUUCCUGACUGUGUGGGAAACUAGUUUCACAAGGACAUUACAAAAUGUUGUUUUGAACUGAAAAAUAGGUUCUAAGAAUAUAUUGCCUAUAUUUGCAUGCAUGACAAUCAUCUCUGCAAUUUGUUGUAGGCGCAUUUGUUGGUAUCACUAUUGGCAAUGAUAUGUCAAACCUACCAUCAGCAACAGACAUAGUGGCUAUCCUUAAAGAAAAGAAGAUUCAACAUGUUCGUCUGAUUGAUUCAAACCAUCAGAUGUUGACUGCCCUUGCAAAUACUGGAAUAGAAGUGAUGGUUGGGGUUCCCAAUGAUCAGCUACUUCGUGUGGGGCAGUCUCGUUCCACAGCUGCUGAUUGGAUUAACAAGAACGUCGCUGCUUAUGUUCCAGCAACUAACAUCACAUAUAUCGCAGUGGGUGAUGAGGUUCUUACUAACAUUCCAAAUGCAGCCCUUGUUCUUGUACCUGCAUUGCAAUUCCUCCAAUCAGCACUGUUGGCUGCAAACCUCAAUAAUCAGGUGAAAAUCUCGAGUCCACAGUCAAUGGAUAUGAUCUCAAAGGCAUUUCCUCCCUCCACUGCCACUUUCAAUUCGACAUGGAACACAAUAAUGUCUCAGUAUCUUCAGUUUCUGAAGGAUACAGGAUCUUCAUUCAUGCUGAAUGCCCAACCAUACUAUGGCUACGUCGGAGGGCAAGGCGUAUUCCCCUUAGAGUAUGCACUGUUCCGCUCACUCAGUCCCAACAGUCAAAUUUCAGAUCCCAACACCAAUCUGUUCUAUACCAAUAUGUUUGAUGCAAUAAUUGAUGCUACUUACAACUCAAUCCAAGCAAUGAAUUUCACGGGGAUUCCUGUUCUGGUCACAGCUUCUGGCUGGCCAUGGCGUGGUGGGCCAAACGAGAAGGCUGCUACUGUUGAUAAUGCUUUGGCCUACAAUACAAACCUCGUACGUCAUGUACUGAAUAAUUCUGGUACACCCAGCCAACCAAUGAAUCAGUCCAGCACCUACAUCUUUGAGCUAUUCAACGAGGAUCGUCGGUCAGGACCUGUAUCAGAGAAAAGUUGGGGGAUUAUGUUUCCUAAUGCAACCACUGUGUACUCUCUAUCGUUUGAGGACGUGGCCACAACUAUCCCAGAAUCACCAGCUCUGCGUGGGAUGUUUUGUGUGGCAAAUUCAAGUGCACCCCAUAGUGCACUUAAGCAUAGUUUGGAUUGGGCAUGUGGCCCUGGCUCUGCAAACUGCAGUGCGAUUCAGCCUGGGCAACCAUGCUAUGAAUCAGAUAAUAUAGUAGCUAUUGCAUCAUAUGCUUUCAACGAUUAUUAUCAUAGAACACAAGCUAGUGGUGGUACAUGCAGCUUCAAUGGCACUGCAAUGAUAACAUCUACUGAUCCAAGUAAGCUGCAUUUUGCUCUUCUAUAAUUAAUAGGAUACAGUAGAUUUUUUUUGCACAAUUAUCGAUUACUUUGAAUGGGUUUCUUUAAUUACUUUUGUAGUUUUGUUGGCAAAUAAUUUAUAGUUGCCCUUUACAUCAGCGCUAAACCGACGUUUGAGAAGACCAAAUUUAGCACUGAAAUGUUUGAAGGGCUCAAGGUCCUUGUUAUGCAAAAUUUAACCCACCAAUUAUCUACCACAGCUGUUUUGAUCUGUGAUUUUUAUUGCACAAAAGCCCUAAUGUACUUCUGUUUUACUAUCAUUAGUCAAGAGUUCUACACUUGUAGCUAGCCAGCACUCAAUCUCUUGUUGAUCUGUUAUUGUGUUCCCACCAGCAAUGAGACAGUCCUAUAAAUGUACCCUACCCUGGAAAGCAAGCCCUACUUGUGCAAAUUUCUGUAGGGAACAUGUAAAUAAGCUGGCAAGCAUUUACCUUAGAUGUGUGUCCCAUUAGGCUAAGAGCCUAAGAUAAACCAUAUGAAGGGAUGUGGGGGUUAGUCAAACGAGGGUCAUAGCUCGAGCUGUUACAUCCUAUCAAAAGCAUAAGCAUUGUCCAAAUCACAAUACAAGAUAAAUAAUCUAUGGCCACAACAAGUUUCAUUAUCAUCUUGUGUUUUAUUUUAAUUUCAAGAAAUGUGUUUCUAGUUUAAAGAACUCACUUUUUUAUCAUUUUAAUUUAAUUUCAAGAAACCAAGGGUAGGAUUUUGUUGCUAAUAUCAAACCGUCGUAUAGCAUGUAAAUAACAUGAGCCUAAUCUGAAUUCGUGUAUUUCUUGCAGGCCAUGGCUCAUGCAUUUUCGCUGGAAGGUAUGUCCAAUGCACCAUUUCGUGUUAAAAGCUUCUAAGUUCUAUAAGCCUGUUUUGUGCUCUAUACUGAGAAUGUGACUUGCUCCUGUUUGUAGCACUGGCGCCAACGGCAGCGAUGGUGGUACAGCCUCCGGGCCUGUGAGCCCUGACAGUUUUGCUUCGAAAUCCCAAUCCUGCUGGUUGACUCACCUAGUAGCUGCAGUGCUGCUCAUUGUAGUGAUGUAAAACAUUGCAACCAUGUCGCAUUUUGGAUGAGAUACCCGUCAUUUAUCGUGGAUCUUGUCAUUAGAUACUGUAGGGGCGUAUUUGUUUUAGUGUACUCAUGUAGACGCCAUGUAAUCUUAUCCCCAAAUUUGUUGUCCUAGGAAUCAACAUUGCUAGCUGUGACAAGCAGCUUAUCUGGAAUGAUGGAAGUUCCAAUUUCCAAAUGAUCUGUACCCCCUGCAUAUGGUUUAAGUGGUCUGCUGCUGUUGUCUUUUUUUUUUCCUUUUCAAUUUUAGUGUUUUCGAACACUCGGCCUCACCGGAAAUGGCUUUGUUGUGGUUUGGACUUGAGGAAAAAAAUUGAUUCGUCGCGAGUGACUAACGGCCCAGUCAGGCCCAUAUUAACCCACCACCAGGUCCAUUCUCAGUUACCGUAAUGGGCCUGCUCAAUGGGAUUUAAAGCCUCACCAGGAUGGCGAGCCGGCCCACACGCUUUCACCCUCUGUCACUGCCGGCUGUCGCUGCGGCCAAUCGGCCAUGUCCUCGUCCUCGUCCUUCCCCGCCUCUCGCUUCCCCUUCGCCGCCGGCGGCGGGGCCCCCGGCGGCGGCGGCGGAGGAGGAGGUGGGAGCAGCUUGCGGCCGUGGGGGUCGAGCGGCGGGACGUCGGUUUCGUCUUCGGGGAAGCGGAUACAGAAGGAGCUGCUGGACCUCAACGCCUCCGACUGCUCCGCCGGGCCCAAGGGCGACAACCUCUACCACUGGCUCUCCACCAUCAUCGGGCCCCAAGGUAUGAGCUCCCUCCCCUCCGCUUCUCCAAUUGGUCGGAGACAGUUGAGAGCUCGUCGAAAUUUAACUGCGCUGGCGGAUGACAGUUUUACUUGUUCAAAUUGCUGCUUCUAUUUUUAGUGUAGGAGCAGAGUUUGGUUUGUACACUAACUGGGCUCACGAGUACGUCGCGGUUGAGUUAACGCAUCAUGUUAUGUCUUCAGGAUCGCCGUAUGAAGGAGGGAUAUUUUUCCUUGAUAUCGUGUUUCCCCCUGAUUAUCCUUUCAAACCUCCAAUGGUAAGGAUUCACAUUUCUUGUUAGCAUGUUCUUCUGGUUAACAUUGGUCUGCUGAAGUGUGGUGGGAAUCUUUGUUUAGUACAGAAACUUUUUGUGUCCUCAAAACUAGGCUCCAACCUGACAUUUCUCCACUUCUUGUUAUGUAUACCUUCCACCUAAUCCCUUGAUUCCUGGUUCGUGUACUCUUUUUGAAUGUACAAGUUUCAAGGAAUGUAUAUCACACCUGGUUGUGGUGACUAUUACUGCCGAAGUACUAGAAAGUAUUUUUAACAGAAAAUCAAGUGGGCAGUCAGAUCAGUUUGGCUGGUAAUAUUGUUCCAGUUCUAAUUCUGAUUGUUUUGCUCUUGGGAUCCUUAAUUUACUCAUCCAUGCAAACAGAGGGUUAUCAGAGCGAUGAACUUUAGUAUGCUUUAUAAAAUGCAUAGUGUCAGCUGUCCUGAAGCCUCAUAUCCCCAAAUUUUCUACAGCCUGGCUAUCACAAUACGGGCAAAUGUGAUUUUGAAACAGUAAUUUACGAAGAUUUUCUUUGGCCUAGAGAAAGAAAAGUACAUUCAGCUAUCUGUCUUGGAUGAAGGUUAAUCUAGAAGUGCCACACGACCACACCACUGGCAGGGAGGCAUGUGUUUGAUGACGAAGAGUGGAACUAAUAUGAAAACGAUUAUGCUAAAGACAGUUUUCUUUGCUGCUAAUUAAAGUUACCUUGUUUCUUCUAAAGAGGUUUUUGUACCUUUUCAUGUGAAGUACUGAUUUGUGAUGUUUUAUGUCUUCUUAGUAUGAUUUCGACAUAUGAAGAAAAACUAUCCUAAGUUUCUAGUUUACUGUUGUUGUUUUUUUAAAGAAAGAAAGAAUGCAGAGCUGCUAAGGUAUUGUUUUUGUUCUGGCUUGCUUCAAUUAAUACUUUUAAUACUUCCCUGAGCAAAAGAUACGGUAAAAUUAUUUUUAUUCAGGGACAGCCUUACUAUGGUAACAUGUACUUUUGACAUCACCUCUUAUCAUGUGGUGGCAUAUUGUUUAUCUUGGCUUAGAAUAUAAGAAAGUCUGGCAAUCUGCUAACUGAGGGAAGUGAGUCCACUCAUUCCUGUUAUUGAUAUUUAUUUGUCACUAUCCGGCUGCUAGCCAUAGCCAAAAUUACCACCGACACAUUUCUGGAGGAUGCCAACACCACCACCAUCUAUUUCCUAUUAUUACUUGCUGAGAUAUGAGGGACCAGAAACAGCCAGCCUCCGUUUUAGCUUUCCACCUACCACUCAAAACCUUCAGCGGCACAGUUUUACCCUGAUCAGCUAAUGAAACUAUCCGUGCAGCUAAUACAGGCCACGGCAACAAUCACACUAAAGCUGUUAAAGAUAUUAUAGUAUUAAAAAUAUUUUUGAAUGUUGCCCAUCCUAGCUUGCUUUGGACUAAAAGGUUUUGUUGUUUUUUUCUUGUGUUCUUGAAAUAUCGUUUCAAUGUUCUAUGAUGUGAUUAUCAGAUCUAUACUUAUGUAUGGUAUAUGUCUGUAGCGUUACAGUUACAGGCAAUGUUAAUCAUGACUUUAUAUGUCACAUGUUAAUAGUUGAAAGUUUUCACAAAUUAUUUUACUCUUCAAGCUGAAUCUAUUAAAAUUGAGUAGUUUGGAAUUGGACAAUUUAGCUUCAUAACUCCAAAUUUGUGUUAUGCUGGUAUUCUCCCAGGUAACUUUCAAAACAAGGAUUUACCACUGCAACGUUGAUGCCACUGGUAAAGUGCAUUUGGACAUUCUGAAGGAUGGCUGGAGUCCAGCUUUUACUAUUUCAAAGGUGUUGCUGGCCAUCAAAGACAUCAUCAGCAAUCCAGAUCCAUGUAUGUUCUUAUCACUUUCUGUACUACCUUAUGUAAACAGUCGUGGAUUCUGGUGCAAAUUAAGUCUACUGUCUAUAUAGUUUUACUUUGCUUUACUGCUCAAAAGCCUUAUGUUAUGAUCUUUAUUUGUGCAGACACCCCGCUUGUGAUGAACAUUUCACGUCAGUAUCUAACUGACAGAACUAAACACGAUGAAAUAGCAGCUGAGUGGACAAUGAGGUUUGCAAGAUAGAGAAUUCUGUCUGUAUCUAAGCAAUAUUGACCUUGUAAAAGAAUAAUCCUUAAUGUGGCCUGAGAUGUAGAAUGUUGGCAAAGGACCCACGUUUUGUUUAAUCUGAGUUGUGACAUAAAGAUGUACUUUAUGCUUGAGGUUAUCUAGUUGCUUCUUUUAGGUGCAGAAUUGUCUUUUUUGAUUUUGCAUUUCUGCCAAAGUUGCACAAGUAACUCUUCAGAACCUGCUAUCUGAGCUAAUUAGUUUCUCGAAAUUCUUUCUGUUGAAACUGGCAGCAGUUCCUAGUUGAGGAUGCCCGUUUCCUAUACUGAAAGCAAAAAUACCUAAGAUACUCGGAAAUGUUCAGUGACCGACAACUGUUAAUGUUACAAUUGUGCAAAUGAUCGAUUAAUUUUGUCCAGUCAAAGUAGUUAAAGCAUGUCAUUCAAAUCUUUCACUUGAAACCAAAUCCUGCUGGUGGUGUUGUUGGACAAGGCUUCAGUUACAAAGGUAUUUUCCCUUCCAGAACUUUGUCCCUAGUUCAUAGGUGUUUCUUGGACAGAAUAAAUGUCAUAUUGCCAUCCAACAAAGAAUGAUCAUGUUUUAAAAGCUAACUGCAGAACAAAGAUAUCAGAUGUUUACGGCAGAAUAAUGGUCACUUGCCUACUGCUGCUAACUUGGAUCUCACUUCAUGUAGGGAUGAAAAGCUACUGGGACAGCUACUGAUCUUACAAAUGACCAAACUGGCCUUCACCUCUGAAAUGGACGCCUCACCAAUUCACUGAUUCCCAGUACGGACUGUUCAAUUGAUCACAUCUGGCGACCUUAUAACUACUCCAUCUAGAGAAGAAGAUGCAAAGCAACUCUUUCUGGUGGUCUCUCUCCUCAGACCACAGACCAUGGCCACCGAGCUAGAUGUGAGCAAGUCCCGCCGUUUCGACAUUGCAAUGUCGAGGCGGACACGGCGACCCACGAGCCUGGUUGCUUGUUUCCAAGAUCAGUAUGGGCCAUCCCUGGCGCAACAUCGCCACCAAGAGCUGAAGGCAUUUCUUGAAUGCCAAGAUGCAGGGCUGAAGGCACUCCAACAUUAUGAGGAUGCAGAGCAUCUGGCACCGUGUCUGGAUGAAGAUGAGGAGCGGAAGUUUCCACAUGCACCACUCCAGUAUGAAGAUGGGGAGCUGAAGAUUCCACAAGCACCACUCCAGUAUGAAGAUGACGAGCAAAAGACACCAGAGCAAUAUCAAGAUGAGCAGGAGAAGAAAUAUCAGCAAUAUUCAGGUGAAGAGCAGAAGAAACCAGAGCAUUAUCAAGGUGAAAAGGAGAAGAAACCAGAGCAGCAUAAAGAUGAAGAGGAGAAGACGCCAGAGCAGUAUCAAGGCGAAGUGCUGAUGACACCAAACCAAUUUGAAGACGAUGAGGACACGGCAGCAGAGCGAUACCAAGACCCUGAGCAAGAGGCACCUCAACAACGCCAAGAAGCAGAUGAGAAGGCGUCAGAGCAGUCUGAAUAUGAUGAGGAGCAGCAGAAGGCACAGCAGGAAUGCUGCAACACAGAGCAGAAGGAGACGGAGCAAUUCCAAGGCUUGAAGAAGCUAGGAACGCCACUGCGUGCUGUCGACAGUGUGCCCCGGUUCUCCCUUCAGGAGCUGAUACAACAGAAGCAGCUUCAAACCGGAGAGGCAAAGCCUGCCAGCAAGCAAGCCGGACAUGGGGAAAGUGUCCUUCCUGACCAUAAGGUUUCCGGAUCAGGAGCAGCAGCAGGCGGCACGACACUGGCCAUGGUGAUAAAGCGACCCGAGGGCGGGAAGAAGUCGAUGGGGAUGAUACGGCGGUGCGUGAAGGCCCUGAACCAGAUGAUCAAGACCAAGCACGGGUCUAAGAAGAACUUGCAUUUGUAAUUUGAACAGAAUUCAGCAGUACAUGAUGAUGAGUACGUGUGGUCCAGACUCGAGAGUUUCUUAGUGGACUGCACAUCUCUGAAGAAUGCGCACGCAGUUGUACUGUACCAAGUUUUGGGCAUAAUUCAGAGUGUGCAAGAUCUGGUAAGAAACUCCGCAGCCAUACCGGGCUUUUUACGCUCCGGUCUAUACCGUCUACCUAUAGCAAUAAACUGUGAAAUUUAGCUGAAGAUCGCCAGUCUGUUACUACUUUGUUAUAAGAUGCUCUACUCACUGAAGUUGUACACUAUUUGCUCGACGAUGUAAUGGGUAAAAUGUCAAAGGAGUCGAGAUUAGGCUCUGAACGCGUGUGUUGUUGACUUCCUCUGCGAAGCUUCUUUUAGAAGUGUGAUCGUGAUCACAAAAGGGAAAUUGGUCGGUUGUACCGACACUUCUCCCCCAGGUCAGCAGUGGUUUUGGUGCAGGAUCCCUUUCUUCCUUUUUUUGUGUCACGUCCCGUUUCGGUUUGGUGUAUGAUAAAUGCUGAGAGUACAAGUUAGAUCAAAAGAAAAAGGUGGAAGAUCUGAAGCCUGUGAAGUGUCUUGAGUUCUUUGUUGAGGUCUUGAGGAUGUUGUAUCACAUGGUAUGCCAUCACACGCCUUGUUCCUUUAUAGUUGCUCUGAAUUUGCUCGGUUUGAAAAUGUGCACUGUUGAGGUUGGUACUGCAGGACGUGUUCAUGAUCUAAAAAGAUCUGCUACGAACUUUUAUGAAACUGAAAUUGAACAAACAGUUUUCCCCCUUAGCACCAUUAGCUCACACCAUAUCAUUUUUUUCUCCUUUUAGAGACAAUAUAUAUUCUCACACCAUAAGCGCAGGAAAUCUGCGUGGCACACGAGCGCCUCGCCGAUAUUCGAUACGACCAGAGACGUGCGUACAUGCGGUGGUGGAGCUAGCAGUCAAUUCAAGAGAGACGAUUGCUACAGUAUAUCGUGCCUAUUGUUUAGUAUUAACGCCUGUUCUAAAUAAAAAUUAUAAACUAGAAAAUAGAUGAUUUUUAGGAAGCAACUUUUAAGGUUUAAACUUCAGAAGAAAAAAAAAUAAAAAAGCAAAUCUGAACUAUACAAUAGGUAAGCAGACAAAACUUACAAAAAAGGGACGGGCUUCCCUGCAUUGCACCAGAAGGGAGCAGGGCUCGAACCCGAAGCAGACAAAACUGAUGAUUAACUGAUACUAAUAUUGACUAGCGCCGGAAUAGAGUAGUACUAAUAUCCAAACUAGCAAAUGAGCUACAUGAUGAAAGUCAAAAUGCAUAUAAGAAUAUAAAUGCAUGCAGCCAUACAGAUGCGUAGAAGUAGUGCGCAUGCAAUAAAUAUAGACUUCUAUGUUUUAUACAUAAUCUGCUGCAGAUAUAUCAAACAAAAAUUACUGGUUCGUACAUCCUUUAAAAAUUUAUCCUGGAGGCCGGAGCCCACUAUAGGCCCCUGAAGAGGCUCCGCCAGUGCCUACAUGGCAGCAGCCAAUGGGGCGCCUCCCACUGAUUUUUGUCAGCUCUCAGCCAGUGGCGCCCUCCACGUCAGCGCAAUCCGGCGUGCCGGAGCCAGACGAGUAGAUUCUCCGCGCCGCGUGGCGCCAGGCGGCCGCGCCCGCUAUCCCCUCGCGGAUAAGCCGGCCCCGCCCCGGCGCGCGCCCGCCGCGAGAUCCCUUAAACCUGCGGCGCGCGCGCCACCUGCCACACAGCAGCUACCGCGCCACAAGCUUUCGUUGCCAUGGCACUCGUCUCCGCCUCCUCCUCCUCCACCACCGCCGUCGCGGCGCUCCCCAGGAAUGGGCAGCGGGCGCCGUCCUUCCUCGGCGGCAAGACGCUGCUGAGGCAGGCCGAGGCGGCGCGGCCGUCGUUCGCCGUGCGCGCCGCCGCGGACCCCGACAGGCCCAUCUGGUUCCCCGGCAGCACCCCGCCGCCGUGGCUCGACGGCAGGUCGGUUGAUUCCUGGAGCUCUGUAUUCGUUCAAUUGUCUGAAAAAAGCCAGCUGCUUCAGCUUGUGUGUGACUCUGACAGUGUUCUUUGCCUUGUUGAUGCAGCCUCCCCGGCGACUUCGGCUUUGAUCCCUGGGGCCUCGGUGAGUUCUGAUCCCCGAUCAAUCUCUUUCUCCUGUGCACAUACAAUCUCUGAGCCGAGCGAUGUAAUUAACUGUCCACGCAUGUGUGCUGGCGAUUCUGUGUGCAGGAUCUGACCCGGAGAGCUUGCGAUGGAACGUGCAGGCGGAGCUGGUGCACUGCCGGUGGGCGAUGCUCGGCGCGGCGGGCAUCUUCAUCCCGGAGUUCCUGACCAAGAUCGGCAUCCUCAACACGCCCUUCUGGUACACCGCCGGCGAGCAGCAGUACUUCACCGACACCACCACCCUCUUCAUCAUCGAGCUCAUCCUCAUCGGCUGGGCCGAGGGCCGCCGCUGGGCUGACAUCAUCAAGCCCGGGAGCGUCAACACCGACCCCAUCUUCCCCAACAACAAGCUCACCGGCACCGACGUCGGGUACCGCCUCUCGCUCCAUGCAUGAUCGAACCAGCAAGAAAACAUUUUCAAAUACUCAUCUAGAGUCAAUGGCUAACGAUGAUUCGCCCGUGCACUGGAAAUGUAAUCAAGGUACCCUGGUGGCCUGUGGUUUGACCCGCUCGGCUGGGGCAGCGGCUCGCCGGAGAAGAUCAAGGAGCUGCGCACCAAGGAGAUCAAGAACGGCCGCCUCGCCAUGCUCGCCGUCAUGGGCGCCUGGUUCCAGGCCGAGUACACCGGCACCGGCCCCAUCGACAACCUCUUCGCCCACCUCGCCGACCCCGGCCACGCCACCAUCUUCCAGGUCAGCUGAAUCAAUCCACAUUAUAGCAAUACCCCAUAGCUUUGAUAUAUAUACGAUUUGGUUACUGAUUGGUGAUUUUUUUUGUUGUGUUCUUGAUCAGGCCUUCACCCCGAAAUGAGGAGUUGGAGUUAGCGAUCUGAGAUUGCAACGACGCAUGCAUGGUGGUGGAGAUUGUUAGGUUGAUGGUCGAUCGAUGCGACUCUUUUUUCUUUUUGUGGGGCGGGAUAGACUGUCCAUGAUGAUUGAAUGGUUUGCGGAGCGAUGCAUGCCUGUGUGAUCCUGUACUUGUACUAUGUUGUAACCAAUGUAAAAAUGCAAUACUCGUUAGAUGCUAUGCUCUUUCACCGAAUCAACGACUUGAUGAUUUGUGCAAUGCUCGCGGUGAUGAUGUUAAUGGCGUUGUGCACUAGGUACGCGAACGCUGAUAGGUUGCCCAAGAAAAAACGUUAAGAACGCAAGUAGAAAUAUGAUGUCAGUAAUGCUCAUAUGUGGCCUUGUUGGGCCAUUUCGCCAUUGGGAUCUGGGCAUGUCUGAAGCCGAACCACAUUGAGAGAGAGAGAGAGAGAGAGAGAAAGAUGAUCGAAUUCCAAUUGAAAUUCAGAUCUACAAAUGCCAGUUAUAGAUUUUUUAAAUUAUUGGAUUGGUCCAAUAAAUUAUAAAAUAAACUAGAAUGAUAUUUUAUUUUAUAGGGGCAAUGAACUAGAGUAGUAUGAGAUCGUAAUUAAUUAGAUUCGGAUAAACAACAAUUAGCCGCGGCUCCCUUCACCCAAUUAAGUUUUUUUUUCAUGUGGCCCAAAGCAGCUUAGAGCAAACGGUGAGGAGCAAGCUUGGGAUAUCUAGGAUUUUUUUUUUUACUUUCAAGUAGACCCCAUACUAUUUUUUAUCCAAGGUUUGAUGCAAAUCUUUGGUUACACGGCUGUAUGAAUCAAAUCAACGCUUGGAGAAAGCCUACUUGAGUCGAUUUUUACGUUUUCAAUCAUUAGAGUCUUAUUUAUCUGUUAUUCGCUUAAUUUUACAUUCAAUCUUAUGAAGAUUUUCUGCAUACAAAUUUAUCGCUUUAUUCGCUAAGAAUAUGCUGCUACGUUAUUUGGUUGGGAAGACGAUGGAAAAGUAUAGCAAAACUUCUGUCGCUUCAAGUUUCGCUUAUUUUCGAAAUAUCGGCAUUACGGGGGGGUCUAACGCGAAGUUUGACCGCUCAACUUUCCCUGCAAGAAUGGAUCGCGAGACCCCAGAAGAGUAGACAGAAGACAAAGGAAGCCGAGGGGCACCAUCCCAAAAACCUGAAAGAAAUUGAAUCGAGUUGGGGAGAAAAAAAGGAAAGGGGGACGAGCACGCGCCGCCACCAGCACCGCGCCCGCCAUGGCCGCCGCCUCCUCCCGCCGCGCGUCGCAGCUGCUGGGGUCCGCCGCCUCCCGCCUCCUCCAUGCGCGGGGCUUCGCCGCGGCGGCCGCCGCCGCGCCCUCGCCGGCGGUCUUCGUCGACAAGAGCACCCGCGUGAUCUGCCAGGGCAUCACGGGGAAGAAUGGCACCUUCCACACCGAGCAGGCCAUCGAGUACGGCACCAACAUGGUACGCCUCCCCGCCGCUGCCAACCCCUGCCUAUCUCCCUCUGAUUUGCGCCCUCGAUCCGUGCGUUCCGUUCUGUGCUGCGCGAUUCUAGGGUUUGACAGAGUCCGUCAUGUCCAAUCUGGUGGGCGUGCGGUCGCCGAUCUUCAUUUCCUCGGGUCCUACGGUCUCGUUUCGCAGCCUUACGGUCCGAUCCAGAGCGAGAUACCAGCAGAUUACUCAUCUCUUAUACCCUAUAUAUUUUCUCUCUCCGUCACCAAUAAUACUUUUUACGUUUUUGGUAGUCAGUGCUGUAGCAGAUUACUCAAAGGAUAGGGUGGAGUGAGGAAUCCCCUACAUUUGUGCAAGAGGGAGGUGUGUUUUGUCGAUUACAAAAAAUAUUUUGGUACUGGUGAUGGAAUUGGUAAUCUGCUGGAGCACCUCCCAUUACUAAAAGGACAGUUUUUUGGUACUGGGGAGAGGGAUGAGUAAUCUGCUGGAGAUGCUCAGUACGCUUACCUGGAUGAUAUUGCCUUGUUGGAGGCAAAAUGUGUGCUAUUAUAAUUGCCUUUUUCUUUUCGUGGAUAGUGCUAUUAUGUGGUAUAAUGCCUGAAACUGUAAGUGAAGCAGCAGCAAUGCCUAGGUUUCAUUAUCAUUUGUUGAGUUGAUUGAAUGCUGGUGAUGAAUGUUUAUUUUCAUUGUCUAGUAGUUUUCAGCGCUGUUCACCAUGCAAUCUAGCGGCAGCAUUUGUCAGUUAGAUGGGGAUUAGUGAUUUAUGUGCUGUGACUUAAGAAAAUGUCGUCAAAGUAUACAAUGUUUUGAUGGAUUUCUUGAUGUUUUAUACGGCCAACAUGCAAAUUAAUUGGAAUUUUUUGAGGUUAUGAGAAUCAUAUCCAUCAUGAAUGCACUGAAACCUUUCAAGCUGUUUUAGUACAAUCUAACACAAAUAUCAUGUAUGAAGAUGCAAUCAUUCCUCAGUAAUGGGAUCGAAGCAAGUUUUGUUUCUUAUCUGUUUUAUGUAAAUGGGCUGCAGUCCUUACACAAGGAAAUUGUGACAUAGGAAGAAGGAAGUAAGGAAGUCAGCAUGUUGAAGUCUGUGAUGUUUGGUACGAUAGGUUCCCUGGACCUGGCAUGAUGCUUGGAGGUCUCAUCAUAUUCGAAUCUACAGUUAUAUUCUUGACUAGUAGAUUCAUAUAAUUAACUGUGCCACAACAAAAGAAUUGGCUCAGAUGCAUUUUUUUUUCAUGUCAUGUGGUGUUGUACUAGUAUUAUUAUGAAUAGUUCAAUACAGCUGAAAGGAUUCAUGCUGCACAAUUUUUUUGGGCAAUGGAUUUAUAUAUUUACGGUGUUUAAGUAAAUAAGUAUUAUAGCUUUUGAAUGUAAUAAUUUUGAUUUUUUUCUUGUAUUUUGUGGACCUCUUUUUUUAUUAAGGUCAUUUUUUUUGUUAUAACAGGUGGGUGGAGUGACUCCUAAGAAAGGUGGAACUGAACAUUUAGGGCUCCCAGUGUUUAACUCUGUAGCCGAGGCUAAGGCUGAAACAAAGGCCAAUGCAUCUGUUAUAUAUGUUCCACCACCAUUUGCCGCCGCCGCUAUAAUGGAGGCAAUGGAGGCUGAGCUCGACCUUGUUGUCUGCAUUACAGAAGGAAUUCCUCAGCAUGACAUGGUAAUUUUUGCCAUUUCAUUACUUUGUUAGUUAGAGCAUCUCCAACAGACUUUAUAUCUUUAGGAAUAGAGAUUUUGUUUAAAAAAUUACCUCCAACAGCCUCUUCAGUUGGAUAUCUAAAUAUAGACCUCCUCUACUCUGGAUUUGUCGCUAGCCAAAGAUGGAGAGCGAGAAUUGCUCUCUAGACUACGCACAAGAUAUAGAAAAGCUGUUGGAGAGUACAAAGAUAUAGAAAAUAAUUUUUACUCAAAUGACUCUCUGAUUGAUGAUUUAGAUAGUAGAUUUUAGAAAGGCUCUUGGAGAUGCUCUUACUAUCAUCCUUUGUCUUCUGAGCUUGGGAAUCUGCUCAAUACCAUAUCAUGUUUGGUUUACUUAACUGUACUUGCAAAUUACUUUUUUUUUUGGCAAAAGCAUUAGAAAAUAGUGUGAGUGUGUGGUCAACAUCAUCUUGCGCAGGUGGAUAUGUAGUAUGUUAUUAUUCUCUAGUGGGCAGGGUGAGAUCUAACUUUUGUUAAAUAAAGUAUGUGAUCCAAAGACACAGAUUUUACAAGCAUAGUCCGUUUUAGCAGUUUGCUUGCUGAUAUUCCUUUUAUGAUAUUUUUUCCCUACAUAUUGCUAUUACCUAUUAACUUGCGUCACAGCACAAUUAUUCUAUUUUACUUUGUUAAUGGAACUCCAUGAGGUGACAUCAAUGUUCCCUUUGCCAAUUUUAGGUGAAGGUGAAGGCUGCACUAAACAAGCAGUCAAAAACUCGAUUGAUUGGGCCGAAUUGCCCUGGUAUCAUUAAGCCUGGUGAGUGUAAAAUUGGUAUCAUGCCAGGUUACAUCCACAAGCCUGGGCGUGUUGGGAUCGUAUCUCGUUCUGGUACCUUGACAUAUGAAGCGGUAUGUCUGUUAUUAUUAUUUUUUUAUGUAUGCAUGUAAUCAGGUGAUUUGUUUGACUAAGUUGCAUUUGAUUUUUGUUGACAGGUGUUUCAAACAACUGCUGUAGGCUUGGGGCAGUCAACUUGUGUAGGCAUUGGUGGUGACCCAUUCAAUGGCACAAAUUUUGUUGAUUGCCUUGAAAAGUUUGUUGACGAUCCUCAGACAGAAGGUACACCUAUUGUGACUGAUUCUUCACAAUUUUAAGCAAAAAACUUUCUAAAAAGAAUAGCUGUGAACUGCGUACUCUUCUAUGUGGAAUUAAUCCCAUAUAUUUGGUAUUUUUGGCACUUGAAUGCUUCAACUACAUUAUUUGUUUUUUCAAUACUAUCUCCAUAUGCCUUUUUCAGUCAACACAGUUCCAUUCCAUUUAUGGAUUGUUCUCACUGUUGGACAAUAUUCUGUGCCUUUCAGGUAUUGUUCUCAUUGGUGAAAUUGGAGGUACUGCUGAGGAGGAUGCUGCAGCAUUCAUCCAGGUAAGAGUUUGUCAGUACCAUCAUAUAUUUAGAUUCUUUUUUUCUUCUGAAUGACAUAUUUACAUGCCAUGGUUCUGUAUUGAUUCUGCACUCUGCAACACCAUUCCCUCAUGAGCUAGUGAAGUUUCAUGCAGUUCAGUCUUGAGCACUUUUUCAGUGUCAUAGGGACACAUUUCCCAUUGUUCUUUACGGAAGGCAAUUAAGCUAGAUGCCUGGACCUUGAUUUAGCUUGAGCAUAUAUGCUUACUCAGCCCUAGCUUUAAGCUGGUCCCACAAUUCCUAUGCAAGCUCUGGGUUGUGGCCCACAUUUUCGCUAAGUAGGCCAUCUUAUCCAUCUGGUAUGUGCAUUCAGUUUAGUAAAAACCCUUGUGGCUACCUACUCUUGCCAUAGACCUAAAGUAGUUGCUAUGAACCAAAGAAGUUUCAUGUGACAUGGAGUGACUUCAUGUAUGUGGUCAGGUUAGAAGUUUAAGUAACUAACGCCCUAUGGGUUCGUUUGUCUUAUGAAGGGAGUUAUCAUUAGUUGCUGCAGACAUUACAUCUCAUAACCGCUUGUCUUCUGGCUUGGUUCUGGAACUUCUUUUUUCUGUCUCUUUUUUUUAAUGUUUUGCUGAAUUAAAUUACAUUUUCCAUCUACUAACUUCAUCUGUUAUGCUCCUCAGGAAAGCAAAACACAGAAGCCUGUUGUUGCAUUCAUUGCUGGACUUACGGCACCCCCGGGCCGUCGCAUGGGUCAUGCUGGAGGUAUUACCUUAGCAAGACCUUCAUUCUUUUAAUUUGAAUCUUACAUAUUUUUCCCCAUUCGAUUGUGUAACACUUUGAAGUAUGAAGUCGAAAUGGUCAUCGCAUUUUAUUUGAGUUAAGAUAUGCCACUUACGUGUCACAAUUCUACUCUCUCUCUCUCUCUCUGGAGAUCAAUUUACUAAAUGUCCUUAUCAAAAUUUUUUUUACUAAAUGCCUGGAGACAACAAAAGAUACUUAAGCAAUUUAUGAGACUAUACAUGAAUAACAAAGCCCUUUAGUCCCAAGCAUGUUGUGGUAGGCAAAUUUAUACAUGUCUACCAAUUUGGAGAAAUUCUUUGUUACUACUGUGACAUUCAUCAAACUUGCUCUGGCAACCUGGUUUGCAUUCUUGAAUACACUGUAAUCACCAACUCACGGUAGUAUGCUAAAAUGGCUUUAUCUGCCCAUUCCGAUUUUUAUUAUACUGUUAGAUAUUAAUAUGCUUAUUUUCCUAAUUCAGUUUCAUUCCCUUUUUACCAUGUUACAUGUGCUAAUAUAGUUCCAUGCCAUCCUUGUUACGCAGCAAUUGUAUCAGGAGGAAAGGGUACUGCCCAGGACAAAAUCAAGGCACUCAGAGAGGCUGGUGUCACUGUCGUCGAGUCACCAGCGAAGAUUGGUUCUACCAUGUUUGAAAUCUUCAAGCAGCGUGGGAUGGUAGAAUAGAGGGACGAAAUGGUACAGUUGAGAAACAUUGGAAAACCUCUUUUUGAUGCUCGUUGGGUAAUUGCGAGCCAUUCCUUGGUAGAGCCGCGCCGGCCACAAAACAAAACCACUCAGGCUUCCUUUUCUUCCUUUAUUGUCUGCUGUGUGCACAAGGAUCCUUACCAUGAGCUCAUUUCAAUAAGACAUUCUGGAGGUCAUGGACAUGAUGUUUUACUUUGGGAGUCAAUGUGGAUGCCUAAGCUGUUUAAAUUUUUUUAACGUUUGACAAUGUUUUCAAUCUAGGUUUAUUGAUCUGUUGGCAUGUCCUCAGUGCACAUUGUAUUAUUUAUACAUGUGUAUAACGUCAGCGGAAAAUUGUGCGCACAAGGCUGCCGGAUCAACCGCACAGCUGACUGCUACUGAAAAUUUGCAGAUUUUGUCACAGUAACAAUAGUUGCCUCAAAUUGCUACUUCGUUGCUUUGAUUAAGCUACUUAGCCGCAUGCAAUUGGUGUAAUGUUUAAUGGUAUUAUGUCCCGGCGACUUUUUAGGCUGGCUUAUCAACCUCAUCGUGCUGUCGCACUAGCCGACUGUCUAUUCUUGCACAUGAAAGGCUAUAAAGACUACUAUGUUGAGGAAAAAAAUGUAUGCCAUGGGAAAUGUUGAGAACAGUGUGUUAUGUGAUGUCAGGAGUGUGUUUAAUCUUAGAACUGUGUUGUUUGGUUGUCCUAAUUUUUGCUCUUUUUUUUCAUUUGUGCCUUAAGUAAUGUAUGGAGGUGGCGCUUGUUACCAAAGACCUACCCCAACUCCGUUGAGUGAGUAUAGAAGUGCUCCAGCUGUUUACUUCAAAAAAAAGAAAAGAAAAACUCCCUCAAGUGAGCAGUAUCAGUGGUCACUGAGGAACAAUGCUAAGCAGAAGAUUUUUCAAAAUUUCAAGCAGUACCCUUCUUUCUACCUGUUCCGAUAAGUUCAGAACAUCAGGUGUUAGCUGUGAAAGCAUUAAAGCAAGAUAAGGUCUUUCACCACUUGAAGAAAAAGAAGAAGAAGAACAGGGUCUUUCUCAGUUCGAAAGUAGAUGUCAAGUUAGGAUGGAUCUGCCCGGGAACAGGCAGCGCUUGAUCUACCCGGCCCCGGCUACCAGCGGUUGUCGAGCGAGCGGCCGUGUUUGCAUUGGAGUAAAUUGCAUCCGGAAUACAAUAACUAGGUACGUGUGUGCAAAUUAAUCUGAGAACUUGUAAUCUGCUUAAUCCGAUACACGAACUUGACACUUUGGUGCGUAUACGGUUCAGAUCCCACCACAUCACGUAUCCGUGGCCUAUGAGAAUCCGAUACACGAACUUGACACUUUGGUGUGUAUACGGUUCAAAUUCCACCACGUCACGUAUCCGUGGCCUAUGCGGUAGCUGGGUCAGUCGUUGCAACCUGGCUCUACUAGACCUAUUUCUAUAGCUUAGUGUCCUGCAUAGCUGCACGUACAUGCUCCCAUCCAAAUGAUACCUACACUUAUUCCUUCAGUAAAUGUUAUUGCCCAUCCAUCCAUUUAAUUAAUUUCUAGGAGAAAGUUAGCGCAGUUGGAGCAUUAGUUUGUAGUGUUUCAUGUUCACUGUUUUCCUGACUGAUGUAAGACAUGUUAUCCAAUGCAGGUAUUCAUGGUGAUUACUUUAGUGUGGAGAUACAUUAUGAAGGAUUUUUCUUGUACAAUUUUGGGAGAAAUAUAAUUGAUGCUUGUACAAACCUUUUAGAGUAAAUUGUGAGCUGAGAGUGUGUGCGGAUUUGUUUUUUGAUUGAUGUGGAUUCAGUUGUGAGCCACGCGCAGCACCUGCGAUGAGCUGAGGCAACCGCAGCACGACGAGCUGAGCCUUUCCCCUUGCUAUCUCAUGCCCACCGUAGGCAAAUACGCGAUUUGGUGGGAUUUGGACCAUAGACGUAUUGGAGUGUCAAGUUCGCGUAUCGGAUUAAGCCUAUUAGAAGUUCAUGGACCAAUUUGCACGCACGUGCCUAGUUGUUGUAUUCCAGAUGCAAUUUACUCUUUGGAUUAUACAGGUGACUGCGAGUUACUAAUUGGUAGGGAAAUAACGUUUUGUUAAGAAGAGUGCUCCCUAAUUGUAUUUUGGCAGGGACACCUUUACACACACACACACACACACAGAGAGAGAAUCUGCAUCCACCUAGCUUCUCCCAGUAAUUCAUUUCAGUGCAUGAUCAAUCGGGACACAUAUAAUGGACCAAAAAAACACCUUUCAUCGCUCAUCAAUUAUUCCGGAUAAUUGUACGAAACAAAAAAUUACUCAGUCUAGCAGUUUGAAGGACACGAGAGUGCGUUUGUCCCUCCAAUCCCUGAGGUGCACCCAUGCUCCAUACUUGGCACCCUUGCCAUCGCUGUUCCAUGGGGUUGAUGAUGAAAUCGAAGUUUAUGCCACCUCCCACCUGUUAUUUGCCACUCACCACCUUGUUGAACCUGAUACCGUCGUUCGCCUGCUUGACGUGCUCCGCCACCGCCCUCCUGCCGGGCUCUUGCAUAUCUGAAUUGUUGACGUCUAUUGGAUACCAUCCACCAAGAUCUGCCAUGGUGGGUGCUGCAACAGAAAUGGCUAUGGCGGCAAUGGCAAAUAGGAGGCCAGUCCUCAUAGCUGGGCUUGCCAUGGUUCGUGGGUGCUACCAAUAAGAUUUCGUAGUUUGGGAGAUGAGAGUACUAGUUUUGAUGUGGAGAUGACCGGGGAUGUUUGGGGGCACUUAUAUAGCCCUUGGCCUGGGUGCAUUGCAAACAAUUGCCAUUUUAACACAUUGGAUACCUCCUACUUAAUGAUAAUUGGCAUUUAAACGCUUUGGAUACCUCCUGCUUAAUGAUAACUGGCAUUUAAACGUUUUGGAUACCUCCUAUUUACUGUUAAUUUUCAUUUAAACGAUUUGGAUACCUCCUAUUUACUGUUAAUUUUCAUUUAAACGCUUUGGAUAUCUCUGAUUUAAUGCUAAUUGUGAUUUAAUGUGGGGUGCAUGCAUCUUUUCUAAUCCUUGUAAUCUAUUCUAAAAAUCCUAGAAUGGAAUGUAUUUGUAGAUGAAGAGAGUAACUUAGUAGAAUUUUAUUGAUAUGAUUUUUGGGAUAGAUUUAAUGGAAUUACUUGAGGGCUAAUAUUAAGACAGUCCUUACAUCUAUAACAAAUAUGAUAUGAAGCUGCUGGUGCUCGAACGUCCGAUGAAAAAAUUUUCAACGGAUGCUCCGUCGUAACAUUGAAAAUUAACUAUUGCAAUAUUUAAAAUCACUAGUUGCAGCAUUACAAAAACAAAUAUAAGAAUAACUAUAUCAUCCGAUUUUAUGAUAGAAAAUUUCCACCGCAACAUAAAACUAUAUUUCAUACAAUAUCCAGCGAGAAUGACAAUGCGUAGAAAUAGAGUUCUGUAACAUCCACACCUACCUUUUAUAACGUUUAAAAAUUAUAAUUGCGAUAUUUUUGAACUACAAUUGCAACAUUCCAAAAAAAUAUUUUAAAAAAAAUUAAAACAAAUAUAAUUAGUCGAUUAGAUUAAAAAGGUGCAACAUGAAAAAUUAAUUAGUGAAAUAUUUAGAAUAAAUUUAUGCAACAUUAUAAAAUAGUUGUUGCAACAUCAUAUCACAUCUCAAACAUACUAAAAAUGAUCACUGCAAUAUCACAAAUCGAUCCAUCGAACAAUCUUGAAAUAACUAUUGCAACAUCAAUAAUCAACUGAAAACUCUCACUGUAACAUUAGUAAUCAACUUAGACUCCUGUUGCAACGUCAUCGUAUCCCUACCGUAAUAAAAAAUUAUGUAAAAAUUCUACCGCAACAUUGGUCGUUGAGGUUGGAGUGCCUUUCCCUCUGUAACAUCAUCUCAUACCUAUUGUAACAAAACUAUGCGCUGGGUUGGGGGAGCAAACGAGCGGACGGGAAGCGUCCGAUUUUUCCAAUCACAUCGGACGCUCGAGCCGAGCAUUACCGAUUAUAAUAUGCCUUACAUGUAAUGACAUCUUGGAUUACAUGAAGUCCUGACAGCUUUGUAUUACAGUUAGCAGGGUGUACUAGAAAAAUCCAGAUGGAACAAAUAUUAGCACAAUCGGAUCCUAACGAACGGCUCACUGACUCCUAACAGGAGAUUGGUCAGCCCACAAAUAGGCUUGGGCACGAACAGGAAACAACAGGCCAGUUAUGCCCAGCAGUGAGAGGAGCGAAGCCCAUGAGCAAGUUUGGUUGCAUUAUUUAUGUGCAGUUGAUAAUUUUAAAUAAUUGAUACAAAGAUUCUGAACGAGAAAAAGUGUUUCAGCUCAAAAUUCUCUUGCUACUUUCCUUAAGAACUUCUGAAUUUGUUGGUUUUUCAGUUCAUAAUUCUCUUCUUACAUUCCUUAAAAAACCAAUUGGCUUCCUACUGUGCUUUCUCUAAGAACUUCUGAAUUUGUUGGUACGCUGCGAUGCCUACAGCGCUUCUGGGCAGAGGGAAGAAAGCCGCCGAUCCGGACGUGACACCGUCGGCCACACGGGCGCCGUGUGCCGCCGCUGCAUCUCGGCACCAAACCAGAGGACCCAGCAGCCACGCCAGGAAGCCACCGCGGGUGACGAUGAGAAAAAGACAAGCACCAGCCAUGGGGAUCAAGAAUUUGGCCUGUCCCGUCACCUUGGCGUGGUGGCUCUCCUCUGCACCCUCUCAAUGUCUGGCCCUCUGCACCCUGGAGUACAUGGACCCUGAACUCUGAAGAACUCCCUGCUGCUCACCUGGCCUGGUCUGGAGGACAUGGAUUCUGAAGAAGACUAAAUUGCUUAACUGCUUAACCUCACCAGCAGAAUGCUUACAAGAACACAAAGCAAAUACAACAGCAUCCCAUUGUUAACAUUUUUUUUCGAUUGAUAACAUUGAUAGCUCUCACAACAGAGUAUACUGAAUAACCGACUUUUCCCCGACCAAUCAACGCACUAACAUAGCAUCAGUUAGCCUGAUCUUAUUCUACUGCAAGUUUCUACUGUCACUUCUUCCACUGGAAGGCCACCGGGCUCCUGACUCGAUGCUUCUCGUUCUCCCAGCUGAUAUGCCCGAAGUCCCACUCUGCCUUCUGGUUCCCUCCAGCUUCGUUUCUGAACUCUGCCGUGUAGCUCUUCGUCUCCAUGCGCUCCUUGAACUCCAAGGUCGUCGGCGUGAUGGUCACCUUCACGUGCUCUGGUGCCACGACGGUGACAUUGUACGUCUCGGCCUCCUCGGACACCUUGGUCACCGUGCGCGUCAGUGCGCGGACGUCGAUGUCUUUGUCGAAGGAGACGACGAACGACGGGUAGUUGAGGCUGGCAGGGCCGCCGCGGAACGUCGUCGUGCAUUCGACGAAGUCGGGCACGAACAGGCGCAGCUGCGCUGCGGUAUAGUUCAGGGCGCACAGGAAUUCGACGUACUCCCGCUCGCCCGCGUCGUAGACGAGGCCCGGGUCCAGCGCGAGCUGCGGGCGGACGUGCCCGGCGCCGGCAGCGAACGGCGUCGCCGCUGUGAUGCCGCGACCUUCGAAGACAGAGUUGUCCAUGAUCUCCCGGUCGGCGUUGUCGAGCGUUCCGGCAGUAGUGAUCAGCGCCGACCGUAUCAUGGUCGGCGUCCAGUCACCGUGUUUCUUCUUGAGCAGCGCGGCGACGCCGGCGACGUUUGGACGUGCCCGACUCUAUUCCGUAGCUGCCUAGACAGGCCGCAAGAAUGUUCACUUCCGGCGCGAUGACUUCAGGCUUGAGGAGCUCAGGGACGACCGGGUUCGGCCCCCGGGACGAGAAGGUCGCCACCAUCGGCGCCCGGAUCUCGCCGAUCACCGUCUGGCAGGCGAAGCUGAAGGACGCCACAGGAUACCGUGAAGAGACCAGGUAGGCCCUGAGCUUCUCGCCGUCGGUGUGGCUUAGAAUGACAGCCGGAAGGGUGAAGGCUACGGUGGAGAUUCCAUCUCGGGACCAGCUGGUUGAGUCCAUGAGAACAAGCCCGGCUCCACCAGCUUGCCGAAAUUGUGUUUCGUUGGCAAGUAAUGUGGUCAUGCAAACCACAAUCUUGCCCAUGAUUCUGUUGGGCGUCAGAUCACCAUCCAUGCAAGAGCUUGGUACUAGCAGGGCCAUGGUGGUGUGGUUGGAUUUCAUAGGAUAAAGGGAUUGCCCAGUGAGCACGACCCCGUUCCCGAGCGCGAGGUUCGCCGGGAACAGACGGUCCAGGGUGGCGGCGCCGACGGUGGUCAUCCACGGCGCCACGUUGGUCACGGUAGACGCUUCUGGUCCAGUCCAGUGUUGCCGCCAGCAAGGACGACGAACACUCCUCUGGGAUCGGCGCCAAACGCCGCGAUGGCGAGUGCGUCGUCGUAGAAUUCGUGCGCGUCAUCGUCACCGAGGGAGAGGGAGAUGAUGUCCACGCCGUCCUUCACCGCGGCGUCGAUUGCCGCGACAACGUCCGCCAUUGUUUGCUUUCCGUACACCCUGUACAUGGCGAUUUUCGCUUUGGGCGCCACGCCCCUCGCCGUGCCCCGCGCGAACAUGAGAAUACCGGUGUCGCCGACCUCGGAGCCGGCAGCUGUCGACGCCACGUGCGUGCCAUGUCCGAACGUGUCACUCGGGGACGACGGGUAGGCGGGACCGUUGCCCUUGAUUGCCGCCGCAGACUUUCCGGCGGCGUCGAAGGCCUUGGCGCCGACCAGCUUGUUGUUGCACAAGCUGGCGUUGAAGUCUUCGGCAUCGACGCACUUGCCCCCCCAACUCGACCGGACGGGACCGAGCCCUUUGUCGGUGAAGCUCGGGUUCUCCAGCCAUAUGCCGGAAUCGACGAAGCCGAUGAUGACUCCAUCGCCGAAGUCCGUGUCCCGCCAGGCGCCGAACCCGGGGUCCAGACGGAGGAAAUCCGGUGUCCUCGUGGUCAUGGGCUUGAGCAUCCUGUCUUCGUACACUCCGUUCACGCCGGCGGCGGUCGCCAUGCGACGGGCCUCGUCGCCGGUGAGCUGGACGGCGAAGCCGUGCAUGACAGUGUCGUAGGUGUAAGAUGCGGCUGAAGUCGUCGGCGGCCACGGAACGAGGUGAGUGGGGUGGCCACCAUGGAAGUGUACCAGUGCUUGAGGGAGGCGAAGUGGGACGGCUUGGCGAGGUGGUUGGCAUGGACGAUGUAGUUGUUCGACGCCCGAGGCUUGAGCGCGGGCUGGUUGUUGGUCUUCGGGACGAGGGCUGAGUGGGUGAGCUGCGUGAGGAAGAGGAAUAGGGCUAAGUGGUGCAAGAGCCUGGUGGUGAUGGACGCCAUUGUGUAUCGUGCAGCGCAACAGGCGCGAUCCACGGGUGACUGCACUUUCUACAAGUUCGUUUGGCAAAACCGCGCCCCUCCGCGUGUACGUUUCUUUGCCUGGCUGUUAGUUCAAGGGAAGAUUCAGUGCAAGACAAACCUGCUGCUUAAGAUCAUCAUAGAGGAUGCCACGUGUGACUUAUGCACGGCCGAGAUGGAGAGCCCUGACCAUCUCAUCCUCCACUGCCCCUUUGCCAAGCGCUUCUGGCUGCAACUGGGGUUUCGCAUCCUGGCAGCUUUGGAAACACAGACAUGAUGUCGUAUUCAGAGGUGAAACUCCCACCCAUCUUCGGCUGAUACUCGCUGCAAAGCGGAAGCACGUCUCUGGCGGUGCCGACUGCCGCGCGACGACCAAGCUAUUACGGAGACCUGGUGGAACUCCUUUGGUUCAGAUAUGUAGUCACAAACACUCUCUGGAUACACCCCCCGUGAUUUUAUCUGUAACCUGCCGAAACUCAUGUUUUAAUGAGCCUGCCUCAAGGCUCCGAUAAUAUAUUGGUGGGGACUCUCUCUCCCCCCGUGACCCCUCAAAAAAAAAUAAACAGUAAAGUAAUUUCAAGCUGGUGAGGUGUUCGGUGGAUUGACACUAGGAGAUUUUUCUCAGUAGCAAAUAGUACAAGGAUUGAUAGAGAUGAAAUCCACAUGAGGAUGAUACGUGGGGCUUAGGGCCACUUGUCAGCAACAACAAUGUUUUUUCUACAUUAUUAUACAAUAUCUUUUCAGUACUGUAGGACAAAAAAAUGCUUGGUAUUUGAUGACCAAGGAAAAAUAUGGAAAUUCUAGGACUAUGAAACACUUGUAGGCAAGCAAGGGGUAGAUCCGUGGAUUGGAUGGAGUUAUUUAUGGUGUAAACCUAUGCAACAUUAGUAUCCAGUGUGAGAACUUGGGUAAUACUUAUGGCUAAUGGGCAUUACCUGCACGUUAUGUGACUUCAUCCGAGGGUUGUCCUAGAUUUACUCAAAUCAACAUGAACCCCUUCGCCUUUGGAAAAAUAGGAGAGAAAUUCUUGUAUGAUUACUGGGUUAGAGAUGUACUCGAAAGAUAUAAAGUUCCGAGUAAAGGAAAAGAAAGACAUACAGUUUUUGUCAAUUAUUAGGAUAAAUUUAUCCUAUAUAGAUAAAAUUGCAGGAAAAAGAGUACUUCACAAGACUUGCCGCUUUUGCCUGCUCACCCUAUGAAAAUGCAAUGCACUGGUGGGCAAGCACUAGCAUGUAUUGAAGCAAGCACUAGUGGGAAUAAUUCUGGGAUGUAAAACAAAUCAAAUUUUGGAGCUAUCCCGCUUUGGCAUUAUGGAUACAUAGAUACAUGGAAGUGUAAGAAUUUAAUUUCAUCAGGCUGCUAAAUCCGGAGAAGGCGACAUGUAUAAUAAAUAUGAACUCUGCACCAAUUUCCAUUCAGAAAUGACGAACUCUGAAGCCAGAGGAUGCUCCUAAGAAAGGCUAGACAGUGCUUGUCCUGCAGUCCUUUUCAACCAUCAGAAUUCCAUCAUUUUCUGCCAAUUUGAACUAAAGGCUAAAAUAGAUAAACCCAUUUACAUGAAAACUCCUGACGUCUUCCAUCUCAGAAUAGGAAUGGGUGGUUGGUCAGACGGCCACCUUGCAAAUCAUUCACAUCCAUUCAUUCAGAAUAAGACGCCACACACUAGCCUGGUCCCGCCUCAAAUAUGCUCUUGGUUCAACCAAAUUCUGUUCCAUCAGGCAAAGUCACAUCACACAUGUAAGAAAAACAAUGCUCGGUCAGCUCGGUUAGGUUAGUUAAGAUUCUGCCCAUGUAUGUAUCAACACGAUGAAACCAGUUGCUUGCAUGUGUCCUCUAAAUAUCAGAAAUAGCGUAAAUGAUGGAGCUGAGAGCUCUCUAUCUGUCACACUGUAGUACGAAGUGUGAAUCAUCAUCACGUAACACAGGCUGUUUAUUGAUAGGUAGUUGGUGUUCUUUUAUCCCUUGUUCCUUCUCACAUAUAUUAGUUCCACUUUCAGUCUGUGUCAAGCGUCAUAUGAUAUUUGCCAGGAUAUUGCCCCUCUUACCAUAAUCUAGAUUUGCAUCUACUUGCCAUUUCUUCUUACCAUGUUCGAAUGGUAAGAGGGGUAGGUGGAAGUGGUUCUGCAACCGAGUUACAUUUGAUACUGCAGAGUAGUUCUGUCAUGGGUGGUCUGAUUGCUUCCCCUGCCUGCUUGCAAUGGCAGUUGGUGUCACUGUCAUGUUUACUGGCACGGCAAGGCAUAUGUCCAGCCGAGAAACCGGAGCAGGCUCGCUGAUCAUCCUCUCUGGAGCAGCGCGACGCGACGCAAUCGAAGGCCCCGUCCAUCUUCUGAUCUGCUCGCACACCCCCAUUGACCAAACAAGGGCGGCGGAUCGGCCACGCCGUGUGCGCGGGAGGCGGCGAAUCACGCUCUUCCGGCCCUUGCUGCAGAGUACCAGAAAAAAUCUUGUGCUAGGGUUUGAAUAGGAGCAGGGAGGAUCGAUGGGUCCAAAUCGAACAUUCCGCUUGCACCGGACGGAAGACGCCGCGACCGUCGGCGGCGGUGGAUCACCUGCCUGGAGCGGGGGGAGAAUCAGAACGGUAAGCCGUGAGCUGGCACAUGCGAAGAAGGGCCUACUUGAAAUCGUGAAUGACGAUUAGGGUGUUUUUCAGAAAUAUCUGAUCCAAAAUUUGCACAUAAACCCUUAUUUUGAAUCGUGGUUUUUGAAAAUAUCUGUUCCAACACUUUACAUAAAUAUCUCUGCUUUGGAUCGCGAUUCAAAUUAAGGAGUUAUGUAUGAAAACUGUCUCAAUGGCGUGACGGCGUGACCGGCGACCACCGGUGGGCCUUCGCGAAUCCGUCGUGAUGCCUCCUGCGCCUUCAUCCAUGGACAGAGCCCUGGAAAGCAAGCAUCUGGCCUGCCCCCGUCACCAUUGCGUGGUGGCCCUCUUCUUCUCCUCGCCAAUGGCAGGUCCUCACCCAGGAGGAUUUGGAUUCUGACCUCUAAAGAACUCUCUGUUGCUCACCUGGAGGACCGAGGACAUGGAAAUGUGAUGAAUUGCAACUGUCGUGUUCAGUUCAGGCACACAGGCAAAUUUGAGAGAACACAAGAAAAUUCAAGAUUGUACUCCUAUCAGUGUCCAUAGCUCUCAUAGAGUCACAACAGAAGAUACUGAAUUUUCCAUGACAUAUCAACUCAUCAACGUAGCUUCACUUUCUUAUCUUAUUCUACUGCAAGUCUGCAAUUUUCUACCGGAAGUUAUCAUUUCUUCGUUCUGCCAGAUGAUGUGUACGAAAUCCCAGAAUUGGCCUGCCCGCCAAGGUGGCUCUCCUCUGCACCAUCUCAAUGUCCGGCCCUCAGCCCCUACUCCUGAAGUACAUGGACCCUGAACUCUGAAGAACUCCCUGCUGCUCACCUGACCCGGCCUGGAGGACUUGGAUUCUGAAGAAGAAUAAAUUGCUUAACUGCCUAACCUCAUCAGAAUAAUGCUUACAAGAACACAAAGAAAAUAUAACAGCAUGUACGGAAGCAAGCACUAGUUUUCUUCAAAAAAAAGGCACCCGUGGGAAUUCUGGGAUGUAAAACAAAUCAAAUUUUGGAGCUAUCGCGCUUUGGUAUACUAGAUACGUAGAUACAUGGAAGUGUAAGAAUUUAAUUUCAUCAGGUCGCUAAAUCCAGAGAAGGCGGCAUCUAUAGUAAAUAUGAACUCUGCACCAAUUUCCAUUCAGAAAGGAUGAACUCUGAAGCAAUAGGACAGUCACCAUGCAAAUCAUUCACAGCCGUUAGUUCAGAAUGAGACGGCACCCACUAACCUUGUCCCGCCUCAAAUACGCUUUUGGCUCAACUAAAUUCAAUUCCAUCGGGCAAAACCCAAAAGCUCUGCCCAAUAUCCUCGCACGCCCAAUACGAGCGGACUCUGGAGCCACAUUUCCGCAGCUGAUGUGCGCUCCACGCCUCGAUGCUAAAUAUACAUUCGACCGUAAGUUCUAAACUUACAGUCAAUCCGUCUCCCUAAGAUUUCGUCUCCCUCUUUUUUCUCCUUCCCCCUCCCUUUCCUCUACACCUUUCUCUGAGGAUGGCGGCGAGCUCCCCACGGCGAGCUCGCGGCGGAGCGGCGCGGCGCGGCGGGGCGGAGGGGGCGGCGAGCUCCCCAGGUACCGUAGUGGCUUUUUUUUCUUUUUCUAUUUUUGGAUGUAAAAGUUUUUUAUAAAACUCUUUUCCUAAAUUUUUUUUAUUUUGGAUGCAAAAGUUUUCACAAAACUUUUUCUGCCAAACUUCUUUUUUGUAUGCAAAAAUUUUUUCUUCAAAAGUUUUUAAUUUUUUCUCAAAACAUUCUCUUUCAAACUUUUUUAUCAAAGUUUUUUCGCGCUCUCCAAAUUUUUUCUUUGAAUUUUUUUCAAAAUUUUUUGUCAGAAAAAGACAAAAUUUACUUAAAAAAGGGAAAAAAACAUCGGAAGAUCGACCAUACGAGCCCUCCAGUUGCGGCUCACCGAUAAAUUCUCGCCUACUCCCGCGGUCUUUCGUCGCGCGUACCAUUUUGCUCUUUCUCUGUUGCGUGACGGAAAAAAAAAUAGGUGGGGACGGUCCCCAAACGCUCUGCCGUGCGGAUCCGCGCUUGCGUGGACAGUCUGAGCAUCUUACGGCGACUUGGUGGAGCGCCUCCUCCGCAGCAAAGCUCGCUUGCUCAGCUCCGUUCCCAGGCGGGAGUGGCUCGGCUCCCACGCACUGGUGGUCUCAUGCCCAGACCUCCGCCAUUCUUCUAACGGGAAUCAGUUGAAACAUCUUGGCCCGUCGAGUAAUCUCCGCUGAUAUCUGUGGGAUCUUUAUUCAAUGCUCAACUUGAUUCAUGGAGGCAUGUUUGAGUGCUUGAGCUUAGUUGGCUCGGUAAAUUUGCUCAUUAGGGCUUCACAGUUUCAGUAGUUUUUACCUGAAUUUUCUGUUUGUAAAUUACAGAUAAUAAAGUUCCAAAUCAUUUGUGGUACAAGUUGUAUUUCCCAUGCUUUAGCGUAAAGCAAAAUCGAAAUAAAAUAUUUGGCAUUCAUUGUGGGGGAAGUUGAGAUGGAUUUGCUCCCAGAGUAGAUGUCUGAAGGAUGGCGGUCAGCUCUCAAGAAUUCAAAAACCAAUAGAUUACAGUAGUUUCGAGCAACGAAUGGUGCUUGCUGUGAUAUGGUACAAUUGCUUGAUGCCUUCACAUCCCGUGAAGUAUCAACAAUGAUGGUUUCAGUCAGAUAAAGGAGGCAAACAAGUAUUCUAUAAUGAACUGGAUAACACAGUACACUUAUUAUUAUCAACAAACAUCUCGUCGACAAUUCUUCAGAGCUCCAGACAUCUCACCGUUCCCAUUCCAUGGAGCAAGACAUUGUGGACUGGGUUGCCGGCAGAUAUAUCCCGUACGGCGGCCUGCUAGAGCUGGCUCUCCACCAUGGGUAUCGCCGUCACGCCGUGAACCUCGUCAUGUACCUCACGGGCACCAUGCACCUGUCCAGCAUGGUGGGCUGCGAAAGCCGUUAUUGACUCACGGGCACCUCCUUCCUUCUCUGCCCUCGACGGAUUCCCUGCCGACUCCUUCCUUGGACGAGCGGCGGCGGCCAAGGCGGCAGCAGAUGGGGGGAGGGGGAAGCAGCGGCAGAUAUAUGGAACUCACGCCUGAAGUCGAUCAAGCAAAUUGAGCCAAGCCAAAGCCAACGAGCAAAUAAGGUGGAAGCCGAGCCGAGCGAAACGAGGAGCCAGGAGCUCUGCCAGAGUCCCAGGCAGGCGUCGGAUCCACUGGAUGCCCACGCGGUGUUCAUCGAGCGCGGGUCCGCACGGGAGGGCAUUUGGGGACCGUCCGCACCUAAUUUUUUUCCUGCGUGACACGCCCAAGACUGCCUCUGUCACCAGCCUUACAGGUUACAACAGCUGUUGAAUUGGUACGAUCUUUGUCCUGAAUGCUUUUGCUACUGUCGCCGCCUCCCGUCCAGUGUUGGCGCGUGCCUCAAUUCCGCUGUCAGAUGCGUCUCCUGGCGUAUGCCGCGCUCCAUGUCCAGCCGGCUUCUGACGUCUCCAUACUAUGACAUAGCCUUCCAUCCGUCCAUCAGGAAAAGAAAAUAGAAAAAGGACAGAGGCAUGACGACAGAAAAUAACGUUGAGAGGAGGUCACGCUGGUAGUUUCACGUGGAAAAAAAAAAUCAAAAGAUGGACCCACAAACUGAUAAUGUGCCAUAGCUUCAAUUUUUUUGGAACCAAUUUUGGGAACUGUUGGGUGAGGAAGUCCUUCUUUGGCGAGAUCAAAAAGCAGAUUUUUGGACUUAUAUUUUUAGACAUUCUUAGAGAUGCUCUAAUGUGACUGCAUUUGGGGCAAUGCUAAUGCUCGUGUGCACUCUGUGGUAGUGAGUUUACUCAAUUUUCAGUAAUGCUUAAAUGAUAUGAGCACGACAGUCUUGAGCUUCCCAAACUUCCAACCCGCCAUAAAUCACGGGUCAGGCACGGGCUCAUUUUUACCCAAAACCCAAAAAUCCGACCCGACCCAAAAAAUGUACGUGAAAAAUUGGAUUUUACCUGACCCGAUCCGACCACAUGCUGGUCGGGAACGGGCCUAUUUUUUUACCCAACCCGACCCGACCCAAAGAAUGAUCAGGUCUAGUCUAAGGUCAAAUACAAUCCAAACAGGACCACUGGAAACCAUAGCACAGGCGAGAGAUACAAUACCUACCGUGAAUAUUAGAAUAAUCUGUAUUAGUUUCAUAGGAUGUUUAUAUGUUUACUCAGAUCCCAAACAAUAUAUCUAGAGAUAACGAGAUAUAGAAACAUGAGAUACCUUACCAUAAUAACAAGUAACCUAGAUUUUGCCAUAUGCUAUCUCGCUCCGUACCGAUUGAUAUAUGCACUGCCCUACAAAUAUUGCGGGCGCCACGGUGGUGGUGGCAGAUCAUCCACCGAUCGAGAACCAACUAUGCGUAAGUGCAUAGCAAUGCCGUGGGCCCGUGGCCGUGGGGAAGCAGGAUCCACAACGAGCGCAUGCCCGCCCCUCUCAGGAACUUGCUCAAGUGGACGGAGGUGUUCUUCACCAAGAACGAUCUCAAGCGAGCCAAGCUAGCCGUCGAGAUGGCCUGCCAAGCGUUCCCCUCGUCCCGGGAGGCCCGGCGCGCGCGCUUCGCCGUCUUCGUCCACAUGGCCGCCGCUGACUGGGCCGCGGGUGUCGACCGCUACCUCCUCGGCGGAAGAACCACCGUCAGAGGCUUCCUGCGCUCCGCAACCCGCAGCGAAGCCGACAGGAGGGACCUCCGCGAUCUGCUCGACCCAGCCAAGAGUCGUCACUACUCCGCCGUAGCCGCGUCCGCGUACCAGUUCCUCCUCUGCAUGAUAGAGGACUGAUGAAUCCUCUGCUGAUGUAAAACACGCACGGCUUGGCUGCCUUCUUCUCCUCCUCAAUAGCAGGCCUCACCCCGGAGGCUUUUGAUUCUGAAGAACUCUCUGUUGCUCACCUUAUUGCUCGGCCUGGUGGACAUCGAGUUCUGAUCUGAAGAAGAUAAAAUCCUUACCAGCUUGCAAAUGCAAUUUAUCAUGUUCAAUUCAGGCAGACAAGCAAAUUUAAGGGAUCACAAGAAAAUUUAAGGUUAGAGUAUAACCAUUAACAUCAAUAGCUCUCGCAGAGUCACAACACAAGAUACUGAUUUUUUUUUUCACGACCGAUCAACUGAUCAAUACAUCCCGCACUUAUUCUACUGCAUUCUGCAAGUUUCUACUGGAAGUCAUCAGUUCUACCAAUGGCAGGCCACUGGGCUCCUGACAUGAUGGUUCUCGUUCUGCCAGAUGAUGUGUCCGAAAGCCCACUCUGUCUUCCGGUUUCCAGGGGCUUCAUUUCUGAAUUCCACCGUGUAGCUCUUCAUCUCCUUGGGCUCCUUGAACUCCAGGGUCGGCGGCGUGACGAUCACCUUCACGUGCUCCGGCGCCUUGACGAUGACAGUGUAAGUCUCGGCCUCCUCGGACACCUUGGUCAGCGUCCGCGUCAGCGUGCGGGUGGCGGUGCGGUUGUCGAAGACCACGGCAAAGGACGGGUAGUUGAGGCCGGCGGGGCCGCCGGCGAGCGUCCUCGUGCAUGUGAUGAAGUCCGGCACGAACGAGCGGAUCUGCCCCGCGCUGUAGUUCAUGGCGCACAGGAAGUCGACGUAAUCGCGCUCGCCGGCAUCGUAGACCAAGCCCGGGUCCAGCGCCAGCCGUGGGCGGAUGUGCCCGGCCCCGGCCACCAGCGGCGUCGCGGCCGUGUCGUUGUUGCUGCCGACCGUGACGCCGUUGUCGCGGAUGUCCCGGCCGCGGUUGUCGAGCGUUCCAGCGGUCGUCAUCAGCGCCGACCGUAUCAUGGCCGGUGUCCAGCUGGGGUACUCCUUCUUGAUCAGCGCCGCGAUGCCGGCGACGUGCGGGCACGCCAUGGAGGUGCCCGAGAUGAUGUUGUAGUCGCUUCUCCUCCCGUCGUCGAAGUGGGAUGAAUCUCCCAACAGAGAGGCGGCGCCGGACCAGGCGGCAAGAAUGUUGACUCCUGGCGCGAUGACGUCGGGCUUGAGGAGCUCAGGGGCGCCGAAGUUGGGCCCCCGCGACGAGAAGCUCACCACCACCGGCGCCCGGUUCUUGCCGGUUACCGUCUCACAGCCGAAGCUGAAGGACGCCACUGGCUUCGGCUCCGAGGCCAUGUAGGCCCUGAGCUUCUCGCCUCCGGUGUAGCUCAAAGUGAGAGCAGGAAGGGGGAAGGCCGUGGCCAUGAUGCCAUCCCGUAACCAGCUAGUAGUAUCCACAUCAACCAGCCCGGAUCCACCAGCAUUCUGCGCCUUGAUGCCAUGCGGUAUGCCUGCUCCGGUCGUGCACACCACGAUCUUGCCCAUGAUCUUGUCGGGCGUGAAGUUCUCCGGCACAGAGCAAUCGGUGGACACCAGCUCGACCAUGCUGGUGCCCUUGGCCUGCAUGGUGUAAAGGGACUUCCCGGCGAGCACGACCCCGUUCCCGAGCGUGAGGUUCGACGGGAACAGCCGGUCCACGGUGGCGGCGCCUACGGUGGUCAUCCACGGCGCCGAGUUGCUUACCGUAGAUGCCAUCGGGCCGGAGUUCCCGGCCGAGAGAGCCACGAAGAUACCUUUGCGCUCGGCACCGAACGUGGCGAUGGCGAUCACGUCGUCGUGGAAGGGUUGGGGAGGGCCUCCGAUGGACAUGGAAAUGAUGUCAACGCCGUCCUUGACCGCAGCGUCCACGGCGGCUACCAUGUCCGCGUUAGAGCACCCGCCGGGGCCGCACGCCUUGUACAUGGCGAUCCUCGCCUUGGGCGCCAUUCCCCACGCGGUCCCUCGCGAGAACAUGUAGAGGCUGGCGUCGGGGACCUGCGCGCCGGCGGCCGUCGAGGACACGUGCGUACCGUGUCCGAUCCUGUCCCUCGGGGAGGGGACGCCGCCGCCGCUCGUGCUUCCCGCCAUUGCCUUCGCGGCAGCGUCGAAGGCCUUGGCGCCAACCAGCUUGUUGUUGCACAAGCUGGAGUUGAAGUCGUGGGCGUCGACGCACUCGCCCCUCCAGCUCGGCCGGACGGGGCCGAGCCCGCUGUCAUCGAAGCUCACGCUCUCGGGCCAGAUGCCGGUGUCGAUGAAGCCGAUGAUGACGCCGUCGCCGUAGUUUGUCUCGUUCCAGGCGGCGUUCCCCGGGUCGAGGCCGAUGAACCCCGGGGACCUCGUGGUGUGAAGGUUGAUCAGCCUGUCCUUGUACAGCCCGGUGACGCCGGGUGCGCUGGACAUGCCCCGGGCCUCGUCGUCGGUGAGCUGGACGGCGAAGCCGUGCAUGACGGUGUCGUAGGUGUACAAGAUGCGGCCGGUGUUGACGGGCCGAGGUGAGUGGGCGGCCACCAUGGAAUGGUACCAGUGCUCGAGGGAGGCGAAGUGGGGCGGCUUGGCGAGGUGGUUGGCAUGGACGAUGUAGGUGUUCGACGCCUGAGGCUUGAGUGCGGGCUGGUUGUUGGUCUUCGGGACGAGGGCUGAGUGGGUGAGCUGCGUGAGGAAGAGGAAUAGGGCUAAGUGGUGCAAGAGCCUGGUGGUGAUGAACGCCAUUGCUGGUGGAUGUCUGAGCUCGAUGGUGAAGGAGUGCGUGCCCGGGGAGGGCUUUAUAUAGGCGCCUACACACAGCACGGUGGUUUCAAACUGGUGUAGUGGUAGAUCAUGGUGGUCGGUGGACUGAAACUAGGAGAAAACUCUGCUCAAUAGUAGAAAGUAGUUCAAGGAUUGUUAGAAAGGUAAUACACAUGAGGAUGACACGUGGGACCCAGGACCACUUGUCAGUGACAAUAAGGAAAUGCCUAGAGUGUGCCUCUAGGCUCUAGUGCGCACUUCAGCAAGUGGCAGAUGGAUUUAUCGGUGGUGUGAGCCUAUUGGUAACGCUUGUACAAUCCUCAUGGCUUAUGGCAAUUACCAGCACUAGGUGAGUUCACCUGAGGAUUAUCCUAGAUUUAAUCUCAUCACACAAACCCCUUGGAAAAAAAGAAAAAUGGAUAAUUACUGGGUUGGAGGUCUACAAAGUUCCCAGUAAAAUAAAAGAAAUAUAUAAAGUUUUGUGAACCUGGUCAGGAGCUCUUCCAAAUUUUGGUCCUUUUUUGCAAUUAUUAGGUCAAAUUCAUCCUAUUCAAACUCUGAAAAUGCAGCGCAAUGAAUUAUCUUGCACUCUAUGCCCGUGGGUAGCAAAUUCCAGGCCAGAUAUAUGUAUCUGAAGCGGGCAAGCUGCAACCAGUGCUACGCUGCAAAGCGCUAGUGGAAAUUAUGGGUUUAAGACAAACCAAAAUUUGGGGCUAUCUGGCUUUGGUACACAAGAUAGUGCAAGAAUUUGAAAUUUAUCAUGCCACCAAGUUCAUAAAUAGCAGUGCGGGAAUCGGGAUAGUGAAUAUGAACUCUGAAGCAAUCUCCAUUCGGAAAAGAUUAGCUCUGAAACAAUAGGAUCCUCCUAGAAAGGUUAGACAACGUUUCUCCUGUAGCUUCCUUCAACCAUCAAAAUUUGGCUCAUAUUCUGCCAUUCGGAGGCUGAGAUUACAUGAUAAACCCAUUGUCGAGGAAAACUCCAGGCGCCUUCCAUUUCAGAUUAGGAAUUGGUAGAAAUAAACAUCGAGUGGGAGAGUCACCUUGCAAAAACACAGAACCAUUUAUUCUGAAUGAGAAUGCUUCCACUAUACCUCUCCAGCCUCAAAUAUCCUCUUGGUUCAAUCAAUCCAGUUCCAGCAAGCAAAGCAUGCAAGAAAAACGGUGGUCAGUUGUGUUUCUUCCCAUAUGUAUGUAUGGAUGAUGCUACCAGUUGCUUGCAUCUGACUCCUCGAAUAUCAGAAAGUGUAACUGAUAGUAGCUCUGAAAUAGCUUCAGCCAUUUAUAAUGAAAUAAAAUCCUAUAAAAACAAUCCAGAAUGGAUUCACGUACAAGCUAUAUACAGUUUCCAUUUCCAAGCGACAUGAUCAAUUGAAGCUUUCUUGCUCCUAUUAUAGUCUUGAUCCACACCCAACUCGCUGCAUGCGCUUGAGGGCUGCAAUACGCAAACCUGUGCCCGACGCAAUCACCUUAACAAAUAGAAUACCUCAGUCAAACAGAUCAGUCGAUGAGGUUAGAAGUGAUCUUAUAAGAGUAAUAAUUUCCCUCGGUUUGUCGUGAGACAUGAAGUACAACAGAUAGCAUAUUUUCUUCUUUAGACUACAUACAACUCAAGGUAUCCUAGAUUUGAUGCCACCUGACAAUGAAACUAUCUUCUGGAGAACUUUGACAGGAGAUAGACAACCAAGAAGCAAAACAGAGCGAAGAGGACAACAUGGAGAACAUGAUUUGAGCCCUGCCGGAUGAUGCUCUUGUUCAACCUUCGCAUGUUAUUCUUCACUCCUGCCUGAGCUUUUGCAAGGGUCAUUUGCUGUACAUGCACAGGAGAUAACAAAGGUCAGAGCAUGACCAUAGAUUGUCAGAGAGCAUAGGAAAAAAUAGCUGCUCCGUAAGGUAAUAUUGCUGUUAUAUUACAUUUGGGGCCUUAACAACCUAAAUGUAGUUAUAUUUAAUGCAUCAAUCCACUGUUUUAUGUUUGCUACAGUUCAUCCAUGGCACCUAUAAGAUCAAAUAAGAUAAGUGACCUCAUGUGUAGAUGCAAGUAUAGAAUAUGACACAGGGAAACAUUCUAGGAAAUUUCAUGAUGAGGACUAUAGGUGGUGGUAAGAUUGAACAAACACCGAUAUCAGAUGAAAAAAGUAAAAGGCACACGAACUACUAAGGACAAACAAGACAUAACAAAGAGGAUGCCAAGAUAUAAUCCCAGUAGCCACAGUAAACGUAAAUAAGAAAUAGCAGAGAACAUUACCAAUUGGUUAAGGAAAUCAUUCUGGAACUUGGCUUCAGAAUUUAUCUCCUGGGCCACCUGGAGAAAUAACAGAUGCCAAAAGUUCAAAUCUUGGAUCCCAGAAUGAGAACAAACACCGACAUCAGUAGCUUUCAAGAAUCUAAGGAACAGCUUAUAACAAUGAUUGCAAAAAUGAGCAGUUUCUACUUGACCUACAUGCAGUAUAUUUGAAGUAUACAAAAAAAUAGCCAUCGACUAGCUCUGCAUGGGAGAGAAUUUACAGCAUCAAGGCCUAUGAUAAUAAGAAAUGGAGCAACAUCAACAUGGAAGUUUAAUGAAAUCAAUGAAUACUCUCAGCAGAAGAUAAAAGAAAAUAAGAGAUCAACGAGAUAGCUAAUCAUAGAAAAUAUAAUGAUGGGUCAGGAGCCAUGACCAACAUAAAUCAUCAUGAAUUUCUGAUUCACAAAUGGAAAGGUACAAUGAAACUGCGGCACAUGCAUACAUAUGGUGAUCUGAGCAAAUGACUGUUAAACAUACGCUUAUUCAUAUAUUGCAUUUCCAAACACCCAAGAUCACAUCAGUUAUGAAAAAACACCAAACCCACUCUACGACCAUCAUGUCACUAAUAUCAAAUAACUCAAUGCCCAUUUGAAACAAGGAAAUAAGUUUCAUAUCAUGUGGGAACUGAAUAGUUCCCCGUAAAAUUCCUACAACAUUAUCAUGAAAUUCUUGUGUUAGAAACCUUGCUGUUAGCAGCAUAAUGAACUGGUGUUAGAAACCUUGCUAGCAACUAAUAUCAAAGUAGCAGUCUCCUGUGCUUUAAACCUGGCAGUAACAGGGUAUUACCGUUGGGAACCAGAAAUCCCAUUGGGUGCCAGGAGCACUUUAGGUCCCAAUUGCAGUUUGUUAUUCAUCUGACAUGGUUCUAAAUCUAGUUCUAUACACUCCCAACUGUUCUAGGUUUAAAGACGGUGGAACAAAGUUAGCUGAAAUAGCAAGGUGCAGCAGCACCAUGCGCUAAAUCGAACUACAUGUUAAAACAAAAUUGAGCAACUACGAGAUAUACCUUGAAUCGCCACAUGAAAACAAUCUACUACGCGCUGCACACCCAAUCAAUAGGUUUCCUAGCUACGGAAUCACGGUUGCAAAGACCCCCCUCAAUUGAGCACCAAGCAAACCUACGGCGCAAGGAACAUCAAGCACCACGACGGACCAAGUCGGAAGGGAAAUCAAGUCUUACCCCUUUGAGCAUGCGGACCCUGGAGUGCAGCCCGUCGAUCUCCUCGUCGAGGUCCCCGUGCACCGGGUCGAUCCGCAGCUGGAUCUCGUCCGAGCUCGCCGCGUUCCUGCAAACCCCCCCCCCCCACCAUAAGCGCUCAAAAUCCAUCACCAGAUCCGAUCCGAUGCCUCCGGGUACAGAGGAUCGGACGAGACGCCGCGGAGGUGGUACGGUAGGGUUUACCUGGAUCGGAGCGGGCCGGAGCCGUACAUCGGGUGCGCCAUCGCCCCUGCCGCGCGCGAGGGUGUACGGAGACCCGGACCUGGCUCGAAUCGGCGAGGGAUCGUGGCGCGGCGGCGUGGGGAAGACGGCGACGGCGGGCGGACGCGGGGGAGGAAGGGGAAUGGGGGAGACUGGGGGUGACUAGGAACGGGGGGAGGACGGAAAGCCGUGUCUCUGGCGCUGGGUCCCAGAUGUCAGAGAGUUAUUAUUUGAUGGAUUCCGAAUUUCCGAUAUGUGGGGCCAUACCAUGUAGCCCUGUACUCCUAUAUCAGUAUACUAGUAUACGUGUGAUUUUUUACGACCAUAGGCCGAUAGGAUACAUACUAACAUACAGCUAUACAAGCAUCCGAAUUUCUAUUUCCAAGCAGCCUGCAGCCAUGCUUGAUUUUCUUUUUCUCUGACACACACGGCCAUGCCAUUCUUCUGUCGCGAUAGUAAAAAAGAAGAAGAAGGAAUCCUGCAGCAUUAUCUUUCUCUGCAAGAUUUAUCGUGGAUGCAUGCAUGGGGAGCCAUUUCCGUGGACCGCAGCAACAAUCUAAACAAUUUCCAGCUCGGGGGAUGUUCGUUUCUUAGGGUCUAAAGUUUAGACCCGUCACAUCAAAAGAAUCUUGUCAUUUAGAAGUAUUAAAUAAAAUCUAAUUACAAAACUAAUUGCAGAACCCUAGAGCUAAUUCGCGAGACGAAUCUAAUGAGGUAUAUUAGUUCAUGAUUAGCGGAUGAUUACUGUAGCAUUACUGUGGCAAAUUAUGGAUUAAUUAGGCUCGUUAAAUUUGUCUCGCGAAUUAGCACCCAUCUGUGAAAAAAAAUUUAUAAUUAGACUUUAUUUAAUAAUUCUAAAUAAUAAAAUUCUCUUUAAUAUGACGGAUCUAAACUUUAGAGGGUGGAAACGAACACACGCUUGGUCAUCCACAAGCAACGGCGGCAUGAAUCGGCGCACCGCACCACCCACGCUCACCCGGUCACCGCCGGCUGGCAUCCGCGGCCGGAAGCACGCCGCCGCCGCCUCCGUUCCCCCGCUGUCCACUCGCCCCCACCGCACGCCCGGGCCUGGCGGCGGAUGACGUGACGCUGACGUGCGGCGGGAGCACCACCACCAACGCCAAGGCACGUAUCUUGGCUGUCCCUUUCCCCAGUGUCCUUGCAUCGUCCCGGCCUCGUUGGGCCCCACCUCGGCGACCCCCCGCCCCUGCAUAUAUUUCCCUGUCCGUACACCCUCGUCGCCUUCCAUCGGCGUCGGCCUCGGCUCCAGUCACCCCGCCGCCGGAGACGGCUGCUGCGGCCGGGCCGGGGCUCCACCUUACGGAGGUUCUGCGGGACUGUGAGCCGCGCGGGCGGCGACCCCAACCCUCGCCGCUGCAGGUGAGCUCGUUGCAAGCUCUGAUAGUCUGAUCUGCCUCGCUCUGUUUGGUUCGUUCUCGAGGACAUUGGGGAGUGGGAAUGGGAUUUGUGUGGCUGCAGAGUGCAGACUGGUGUGUGGGCCAUACCGUCCACUGUUUUUUCCCCUUGGAGACGAUCUAGACGAUGGUUGCAUGCAUGGAUGCCAUUCUUUUGCACCCAAUCUGCUUCGGCGAUGAGAGGAGAGAACACGGUAGCUGUGUCUUCUCAGGAACAGCUCCGCGUGGAGUGUCCCUAGGUGUUCGGCUGGCUCCAUGGCGCCAUUUUGUUGGACUACUGCGGUAUUCACCAGCUUGGUCAACCAGCACAGUACAUCGCACUCGCACGCCACCUGUUCGGCAUUCCACCGGUUCGCUCACCACGCGCCCACGGCUGUCCGCCCAACCACGCCUGCAGCGCUCUCUCUCGCCACCGGCCGCCGCACGCCCGGGGCUGACGGCGGAAUGACGUGACGCGACGGGGCGGCGUGCGGCGUGCGCAACACUUACCCUUGCCUCGUCCCGGCCUCGGCGGGCCCAACCGGGCGGGAUCAUAUUGUUUUCUUCGUGCUCUUCUCCUCAUGUGACCUCUCCCCGUCCGGCCCCGUCGCCUUCCAUCGGCGUCGGCUCAAGUAUCUCCCCGCCGCCCGAGACGGUUGGUGCGGGGCUCCUCCUCCGGGGAGACUCUGAAUCCGGAAUCCCUCGCCGCCGCUGCUGGUGAGGCCGUUGCGAGGUACAGUACGUACCAUGAAGGCAUGAACAGUCCCCCCUCCCCCCCCCCCCCCCAAACAAUGAAGACGAUCUACGUGAUGGUUACACGAACGUGCACGCCGUCCGGCGAUCGUCUCCAGAGGAGAAUCCGGUAGCACCAUCUUCUCGGGAACGGUGCACUGUUCCAUUCGCCUCUGACUAGUCUCCGACUAGCAUUUCGGCUCCAGCGACAUGCAGUGAGAGCCGUUUCCGCGGACCACGGCGAUCGAGUACUUUACUGCUCCCCAUCUUGGUCAAAGCUACAGCAACAUAGUGUACGUUGCAGUUGGACGCCACCUGCCCUCCAUUCCACCCGUUCGCUCACCUCAUCACCUGUGUGCUGCUCGUUUUUUACAGGACGCGUCGCGGUCGCGCUGGUCGCCGACCGCCGGCAGCGCGCGGCCGCCGGUCCGGUGCACGCGUCGCGCAGAACGCCGGCCACCGCUCGGCUCCGCCUAGAAAGGAAAGGAAAGGAUCGCGUCGCACGCCCCCCUCACCUUCCCGGUCACCGGUCUCCGCUGUCCACCCGUGCCGAGGCAAAGCGCCACCCACACCCCCCGGACGGGCGGCUGGCGGCGGCCAUGACGUGACGCGCGGCGCCCGCGCCACCAAAAAGUCGGCAAUAAAUUCUUCUCCGGUAUCUUUUCGUCGUCUCCUAGUCGGUACCCGGGCCCACCACCCGAGCAGCGCGGGCUCCGCGACCUCCGCUCCCCGCUCGUCCCGUCCCGGUGGUGCCUGGUGCGCCCGGCGCACUGCGCGCCCCGAUAUAUACAAUACAAUACUCUUCUUUCUCCUCCGCGAUUGCGUCCCCGCUUCCGCUUCUCUCCCCCUCUCCUGUCUCCUCCGCCUUCCCGCCGUCCACGCGACGUUCCUCGGGCCCGUCGCCUUCCUUCGGCCCACCCACCCACCCCCCUCUCUCUGACACAAGACAGUUGCGGUGGGGCUCGUUCACUGACUUCAUUCGGAAAGUGCAGAGCCCCCCGACUCCCGGAGCCGCGCGGAGCGGGCGAGAGCGGAGACCCUCGCUGCUCCUGCAGGUGAGCUCCAUGGCCUCCCUGUUUGGUUGGUUUCCGCGGUUUCUUGGGGACGGCAGUGGCUGGGUUAGUUUCACCGCUGCCUUUGGUUGAUCGCCAUGGAAUUUGAGGUCGGGGUUGGCUCCCGGGAACCUUGGGCGGACCGGACGGAACGGAACUCGUGUGUUCUGGGUGUGAUCUUGUGCGUUAGGGGUACAAGAUAUCUCGCGGGAUAUUUCUCAUUUCUUAUUAGGGUGUGUGCAGUUUUCUUUUCUGCGGGCGGUUCAUGGGGACCAGGACUGCUAAAACAGAUCGAUCAUUUUCGAAAGCUUUUAUUGCAGUCUCGUUGCUGCUUCACUCACUUUGGAUCCAGUUCUCGCGGACCUGGGCCUGGGGCUGCUCCAAGAACGGCCUGCGGAACUUUUAGCGCAGUGCAAUUGCUGUUUGAGUGUUUGUUGCGAUUUGCGGACGUUUGGGCACUCUGGAUGUGUGGGCCUGAAUAUGUGAGAACCGAGAAUCCUUGUUCGGAUUUGGUGAAAAGCCAGGGGAAUGGGAAAGGUGAGACCACAGGUGGGCUCAUAAAGUUGAAGGAUUAGUAGGAUGGUGUAGCUAGUGGAAACGCGAAUAUAUCUUUUCGGACGUCAAUUUGUUUCAUAACUUUGGCGCACUGAAGUACUAGUAGCUGAUGUGCCCAUUACUCUAAAAAAAACAAAAAAACAAAAACAAAACUGAUGUGCCCCUAAGGGCUGGUCAUAGGAACAUGGUUUUUUAUUUGGGUGAUCGGCUUGAGAGUUGAGACUGAUUGGCCUGGUGCAAAGGUUGUACUUUUGCCUAUUGCAAUCAGUAAGGCGGUCCACAUCUCGUGUUUAUUGCAGGACAAUAUAACAGUACAUGUCAGGAUCAGUAAUGCAAGUGAAACUUGGAUCUUGUUCUGUUACUGUAGCUAUCGCAUAGAAGUUCACAACUGAUAAUCAAUGUAUCAGUGUGUCGUCACUUGGUUAAUCCAAAUAUAUUCCUGAUGAACUAGACUUGGUUUUUAAACUGAUUUUUUCCUGCGAAAACUCAUGAGUAGCAUGCAAACAGUUUCCGUGUUUAUGAUGUUUAUGGAACUUCUAGGUAGCAGCUUUGCAGUGUUAUUCUGUUUUUUUCCGAAGUUGCGAGUGAGACUUUGUGCUGGUUAAGCACUGAUAAGUGAUAAACUGAUAACUAAAUAUGACAUGAUUGCCAUUGUGGUGCAGGUGAUACUUUUGUAGCCUUGCUAAUAAUAAUGGUUAAUAUGAGGGACAACGAAUCGCCAUAUGAAGCACAAAUGGAAGAACCCUUAGGGAGGGUGUCUAUACUUUCUUACGGUUCUGGGCAUAUGCUUAAUGACAUCACAUCGUCGUGUUGGUUUACCUAUUUGCUGGUGUUUUUGACUGAUGUGGGACUUAGUCCAGGGUACGUGCUUUCUGGGUUACAUCUCUUUUUCUCAUAUUCCAAUCUAUGAGUAUGUUCUGUCCUGUAGCAUGUGGCUCAAUUAUGUUAAACUGGAGGUAUUUUUGAACUCACUUUAGCUUUAGUCUUAACUCUUUAUCCACUCUGCUUGAAGAGGAAUUUUACGCUGCUAUGAAUUAGGAAGUAAGUUCAUGUUUAAUUUCAAGUUGUCUUAGACGUGAUUCAGUAUCUUACUGCAAUAUUCUCAAACAUCUUUAAAAAAAAAUUACGAUCUAAAACUUUAAUGUAAGUAUGCACAACUGUUCAUCAAAUUCUUCUGUCCCUUUUUGUAACUAGUGCUAGUAAUGUUCAAAAUUUGGCAAAUAAGACUUUACCAUGUUUCAAUACAAAUGAGGCUACAACAGAAAUGUUAGUUCCUAGGGAAUGCCAAUUACCUUUUUUAAAAA